rnacentral:lncRNA from 1 species
UUCAUCCUUUAGGUUAUAUCUUUUAAACUUAUCUUUAUAAUAAUAUGUAGGUUUUCUUAUUUCUGAUGUACUAGGUAUUAUAUUUUUAUUGUCUUUUUUAUCAAGAAAGUUUAUUUCCGUGUUUGUAUUUUCUAAGUUUUCUUUAUUAAUUACUUCUUGUUUUUCAUUAAAUUCUAGCUUUUCUAGAUUUGUUAAGAUUUCUGUAUAUGUUUCACUAUCUUCCGAAUCAUAAUUAUCUGUUUCUUCAGCAUCUACUGUAUUUCAUUAUUUUCUAAUUUUUCUUUAAAUUGAUUUAUCUCAAUUAAUAAUUUUUAUUUUUAUCUUUUUCUUCAUUUUCUUUCUAUCUUUUUUCAUACAGAUCUUUUAGAAUUUGUAGUUCUUUCUCUAAUUCAGCAAUCCUAUUAUUUUUAGUUUCUUCUAUUUUUCGUAUUUCUUCUGUAGUCUGUUGUUUUAUUUUAUCUAUUUUUUUCCUGUCUAUUUCUUCGUUUUCUUUUGUUAUUCUUACCAUGGCUGUUAAUUUAUCUUUCUAAUUUUAAUUCUUCUUUUUCUAACAUUAAAUAUAAAUGUUCACCUAUUUUGUUAUAUCUUCUUUCUAGAUUAGAAAAUACUAUUCUUAUCUCUAAUCCUUCAUGAUUUUUAUAUGUUUUUUAUCUGUUAUGAAUUUUUCUUUAUUCAUUUUAUCUACUUGAUAGUGUAUAGAUCAUGUUGAUAUAUGUAUUCUAGAUUAUCUAUUUGUGAUUUUAAAUAUUAUAUUUCUUCCUUUGGUGCUUUUAUUAAUUUUUGGCAUACUCCAACAAUCAUGUUAUAUUGUAGUCUUUCUUUUCUUAUUUUUAAUUUUUUUUCAUUUUUCAGAUAUUAUUUGUUUUAGUUCUUUAUAUUUUUGUGAUUUAUUAAUUUGUACAAUAUUUAUAAUAUUUUGGUGGAUACUGAAAUCUGAUUUUAUCAUAAUUAGGUGGUAUGUAUCUUAUUCUUCUAGAUUUCAAAUGAAUUAUUAAUUUUGCCUCAUUGCUAAAUAUUAAGGUAAUUAAGUAAGCUAAUCUGUGGGGUUUUCUUUUGUUUUAUUUAAUUUCUUAUAUUCUCGGUAGUAACUAGUUAAAAUUCUUUUAAUUUCUCUAAAAGCUUGUGUAUUUUUCAACGGUCUUCUCAUAUUUAACAAAUAAAUAAAAACAUAGUUAACAAGAUAACGUAAUUAAUAAGCUACAGUAGAUGCUGAAGAAACAGAUAAUUGUGAUUCAGAAGAUAGUGAAACAUAUACAAAAAUCUUAACAAAUAUAGAAAAACUAGAAAUUAAUGAAAAACAAAGAAGUAAUUAAUAAAUAAAACUUAGAAAAUACAAACACGGAAAUAAACACUCUUGAUAAAAAAAGACGAUGAAAAUAUAAUACCUAGUACAUCAGAAAUAAGAAAACCUACAUAUUCUUAUAAAGAUAAGUUUAAAAGAUAUAACCUAAAGGAUAAAUAUAAUAAGUGGACACCAAAACAAAUAAUUAAUAAAAAUUUUAACUUCUUAGACUUAGAUUGUGUAAUGAUGUAGAUAAAACGAUACAUUUAUGGAUAGGAUAUAUAACAAAAAAAUUAUUAGACAAUGGUAUGAAUGCAACAGAUACACCAGAAUAUAUAGAAAGAACACUAAUAGGAACAACAAAAUUAUGUUUUUUAAAUUUAACUAAAAAUAGUAAAAAGGUAUUAAGGGCUGAUAAAAAAUGGAAGGAACAACAACAACUAAACUAACACCUAUAGACAUAUUAAAAAUAUAUGAAAUAGCUAUAAAAGAUGAAUUUAGUAGUAUGGCAACAGAAGAAGAUUAAAACAAAGAAAAAGAUACAAAUAGGAAUUUAAUGUUAAAACUAGCAAUAUGUAAUAUGUGUUAUAUAGAUGAGUAUACGUGUGCAUUUAAAGAAUACUACUAUAAGGGAACAUACAAUACAAAAGAAAGUAAAGAUUAUAUUUUAGUAAACUACCAGUAGUUCAAAAAUAAUAAAGAGUUGGGAUGAAACAAAAAUAGUAGAUACCCUAGGAGCAAGAAUAAAAUUUCUACAACAAUGAUAUAGAAAUCUGUGUGAAAAAUACAGAGAAUAAAUAAAAAUGAAAAAAAAAACAUUAAUAAUGAAUUUAGCAUGUUGCAAGGAUAAAAUAGCACCCCAAUUUGGAUCUGAAGAAAAAUAUUAUAAGAAAAGGAAAAGAUAUAAGAAAUAUAAAAAGUACAGAAAGUCGAAAUAUAAAUAUAAGAAACCAAGAAAAAGAUAUUAUGUAAAAAAUUAUAAAUAUAAAAGACCAUGAAGGAGAAAGAAAUCUAUAAAAUAAUGUACUUGUUAUAAUUGUGGAAAACUAGGACAUUUAACUAGAGAUUGUAAAAUGCCUAAAGAUCCAAAAAAGAAACAAAUAUCAGAAAUAAAGCUAGAAAAUGCAUAAUAUAUGCAAAUAGAUUAUAUAGAUUAUGAGUUAGAAAGUGACGAUAGUAUAUAUGAAAUUUUGAUAAAUGAAACAAAUAAUGAAAUAGAUAGUAAAUUAGAUGAAUCAAAUGACUAAAACAGAUAUAAAAAUAAUAACAAAGGAAGAAUAUUUAAAUGAAGAAGGAACAGAUCAGAAAAUAAUAUUUGAUAAUAAUAUAUUUGACGAGAUAAAAGGAAAAGAAUUAGAUUUAAAUUUAGAAAAAUAUAUUUAAAAUACCAACAAUAAAAAACAUAUUUAGUAGACGAAAAGAAGAAUACUACGUAAUAAGCCAAAAGGAACAUGUAAUUGACUGUAAAUAUGUAAAAGGUAGAGCUAGUAUACCACUAGUAACAAAGAGAAUAAUUAAUAAAGAAAUAAACGGUAUAAAAAGUAAAGACCCAAUAAAAUACGUACACCUUGGAGGAACGAAAAUAUUAAUAAAAGCAUGUUUUAGAGAAGGAAUAGAUACACCAAUAGAAUUAUAUUUAGCAGAUGAUAGAAUUAUAAAACCUAUAGAAAAAAGUAUAGUAACUGCUGUAAGAGGGAAUCUAAUACCAAAAAUUUAAAUUUUUAAUAAGUGCAAAUUAUUCAGUAGCAACGACAGAUAAAAAUAUAGAUAAGUCAUUAGUGCUAUAUUGGAAAAUAUCAGGAAUAGAACUAACCCCAGGAAGUAAAAUAUUUACAGCAAAAUGUAAAAAUCUAUAUGUAUUAACAACAAAACAUAAAAUAACGGGAAGAAAUAAAAUUAAUAAAAUUCAAAUAGAAAGUCUUUUUGAACAAUUUGUAAAAACAAUUGAUAACAAUGAUUAUAGUUACAAAGACAUAGAUAUAGAAAAAGAUUUAGAAAUAAUAAAUGAUAGAAUAAAUACAACAAAAAGAAUACCAUUUGAAGAAACAGAAUCAUCAGGAUCAUCGAAAAGAUUAUGAAAUAACUUCAACAGUAAAUUUAACUCAAUAUUUUAUAACGGGAACAAUAAAUGAAAAAGAAUAUUUAAUACUCCUAAAUACAGGAUAGGAAGAAAACCAUAUAGCAAAAUACCUAGUGAAAAAUGAAGAAAUAAAAUCNNNNNNNNNNNNNNNNNNNNNNNNNNNNNNNNNNNNNNNNNNNNNNNNNNNNNNNNNNNNNNNNNNNNNNNNNNNNNNNNNNNNNNNNNNNNNNNNNNNNNNNNNNNNNNNNNNNNNNNNNNNNNNNNNNNNNNNNNNNNNNNNNNNNNNNNNNNNNNNNNNNNNNNNNNNNNNNNNNNNNNNNNNNNNNNNNNNNNNNNNNNNNNNNNNNNNNNNNNNNNNNNNNNNNNNNNNNNNNNNNNNNNNNNNNNNNNNNNNNNNNNNNNNNNNNNNNNNNNNNNNNNNNNNNNNNNNNNNNNNNNNNNNNNNNNNNNNNNNNNNNNNNNNNNNNNNNNNNNNNNNNNNNNNNNNNNNNNNNNNNNNNNNNNNNNNNNNNNNNNNNNNNNNNNNNNNNNNNNNNNNNNNNNNNNNNNNNNNNNNNNNNNNNNNNNNNNNNNNNNNNNNNNNNNNNNNNNNNNNNNNNNNNNNNNNNNNNNNNNNNNNNNNNNNNNNNNNNNNNNNNNNNNNNNNNNNNNNNNNNNNNNNNNNNNNNNNNNNNNNNNNNNNNNNNNNNNNNNNNNNNNNNNNNNNNNNNNNNNNNNNNNNNNNNNNNNNNNNNNNNNNNNNNNNNNNNNNNNNNNNNNNNNNNNNNNNNNNNNNNNNNNNNNNNNNNNNNNNNNNNNNNNNNNNNNNNNNNNNNNNNNNNNNNNNNNNNNNNNNNNNNNNNNNNNNNNNNNNNNNNNNNNNNNNNNNNNNNNNNNNNNNNNNNNNNNNNNNNNNNNNNNNNNNNNNNNNNNNNNNNNNNNNNNNNNNNNNNNNNNNNNNNNNNNNNNNNNNNNNNNNNNNNNNNNNNNNNNNNNNNNNNNNNNNNNNNNNNNNNNNNNNNNNNNNNNNNNNNNNUGCAAAAACUAUGACAUAUAAUUAUCCAAUACCAAAUAAGAUAAUAAAAAUAAGACAGAUACAAGUAUAUAACUAUUUUAGUAAGUUCGAUUGUAAAUAAGGAUUCUAACAUUUAAAGCUAGAAGAAGAAUCUAAAAUAUUAACUGCAUUUACAGUACCACAAGGAUUUUACGAAUGGAAUGUAUUACCAUUUGGAUAUAAAAAUGCACUAGGUAGAUACCCACACUUUAUGGAUAGUAAUUUUAAAUAACUACCUAAUUGUAUAAUAUACAUAGAUGAUAUACUAUUAUAUAGCAAAACUAAAGAGGAACAUUUAAAAUUACUAGAACAAUUUGCAGGUAUAAUAGAAAAUUCAGGAUUAAGUUUAAGUGAAAAGAAAGAAGAAAUUAUGAAAAAUCAGAUAGAGUUUUUAGGAAUACAAAUAGAUAAAAGUGGAGUAAAAAUGCAACAACAUAUAGUACAAAAAAUAAUAAAUUCAAAAGAAGAAUUAGAUACAAAAAAAGAAAUUACAAUCAUUUUUAGGAUUAGCAAACCAAGUAAGAGAAUAUAUACCAAAAUUAGCAAAAAACCUAAAGUCAUUACAGAAAAAAUAUAAAAAGGAUGUAGAUAUUAAUUACAACAAAAAAGAUAAAAAAACAAGUUCAGAAAAUAAAACUACUUUGUAAAGAAUUACCAAGAUUAUAAUUUCCAGAAGAAAAUUAAAAAUUUACAUAUAUAGUAGAAGCAGAUGCAAGUGAAUAUACUUAUGGAGGAGUACUUAAGUAUAGAUAUGAAGAAGAAAAAUUAGAACAUCACUGUAGAUACUACUAAGGAACGUUUAAUGAAACAUAAAUAAAAUGGGAAAUAAAUAUAAAAGAAUUAUGUUCAUUAUAUGAAUGUUUAUUAGCAUUUGAGCCAUAUAUUGUAUAUAACAAAUUUAUUGUACUAACAGAUAAUACACAGGUACGAUGGUGGUUAACAAGAAAAAUACAAAAUUCAGUUACAACGAAGGAAAUUCGGAGGUUAGCAUUGAAUAUAUUAAAUUUGACUUUUACAAUUGAAGUAAUCAGUACUGACAAAAAUGUUAUUGCAGAUUACAUAUCAAGACAAAUCUACACAGACUGAUAUAAUAGAAGAUGAUGCUUUAGAAAAGAUACUCAAAACCCUAACUACACUUUCACUUAAAAUGGACAGUAUGGGUAAUGAAAUAGAAAAGCUAAAAACUAAUGAAGUUAAACUGAAGUCUGAAGCUAUGACUCAGAUAACUCAGCAGUGUGCAGAGCUAUGUCGAUCGNNNNNNNNNNNNNNNNNNNNNNNNNNNNNNNNNNNNNNNNNNNNNNNNNNNNNNNNNNNNNNNNNNNNNNNNNNNNNNNNNNNNNNNNNNNNNUUUAUCAAUCUACAACUGCAGGUACAAGCAAAGGAGUUAGUGGACAAAGAUAUCAGAACAUGAACAUGAACAAGAUAUUUGAAAAACCAUUUAUACCAAAAACACAAAAAGACCCCUUGUUCAUACCCCCACAAACUACCAUAUAUCGAGAAAGUUUAAGCCAAGAUAAAAAAAGCCUAUAACCAUAUAACUCGAGCAUACAUAGAAAAUAUCCACAAAAUAUAGACUCACCUAAACCUUAGACCCAGAGCCACAAAUAUCCAAGAACUGAACACAGACUAUAUAACCAAAAAACUACAAGAUUACAACAAGUUAAUCGCAUUAUCAAAAACUAACCCAAAUUUAGUUAAAACCUGUUUCAGUUAUGGACUAUUAAAUACCAUAUAUACCCAAGAAGGAGAUGAGCUAAUAGUUAUACCAGAAUUAUAUAGUGCAUUCGCCACUUAUAAGAAAAUAACCAAAGGAAAUCUAUUUUUUAUAAAAUUUUAUACUGCACCAGCAGAGAUAUUAUAUAACGAAAUUAAACUAGUUAUACAAGUUGUAAAAAUAGGAUUAACCAGAGAUAUGAUUAUACCGAAAGAUAUUGUUCAACAGCCAGAGAUACCUAAAGUUGAGAUACCUAAUUUUUAUGCAAAUAAGCGAACUAUAGGAAUAGUUACAAUUAUUCAGGAACUAGCAAACAAUUAUCUGAAUGGAAAUCCCAUAUGGAGCUACUAUUCGAGAUACCAAUUAAUGAUCUAUUCAAAUUCAAGGGAGCUACGAUAGCCUGAUAUGGAAAAAGUUAAACAAUGGAUUAUGACAUUGCUCAAUCCAAAAAAAUAACCAUCGACAAGGGCAAUUAAAAGGGAAUUUAUUUUAGAAGAAUUAUUAACCAGAUAUUACAAAUUAAUAGGACACAAAUAUCCAAACCACCAAUGCUCAAAAUUCCAUGGAGAAAAUAAUGUGAUCCCUGAAGUUCAACUUGAAUAAAAGAAGAUAAGGACGUCAGCUGGAAGAUAAACAGAUAGCAAUGGAGCAAUGGAGAAAUAAAAAAGAACAAAGAAACAAGCUAUGAAAAUGACAUAACAAUGACAUAUGAAUAGUCUUUUUGACUUAAGAUACGUAAAUAAUUGUGUAACUUUAUUAGUCUUUACUAUUUUUGACUUUUUUUAAUUUUUUUUGGCACAUGCCAUUAUUUGUUUUUCACUUUUUUGACAAAUGUAAAGUUUGGACCAUUGUUAGUCUUUUACAUUUUUGACAGAUGUAAAGUUAAAAAUAGUGUAAAUAGUUUAUGCAUUUUCAUCUUUUAGGAUUAUAAAUAUGUAAGCCAUACGACAAUCUAAGGCAAGGACUUUCAUGUGUUGAAAGCAAGCCUUCUCUCUUGUACACAAAUUUUUUUGAAUAUUUAAUAAAAAUAGGUAUAUUUCUUAGGAAAAGCUAUGGAUGAGCAAAGCACAAAUUUAUAAAAUUUACUAGAACAGGUAUUUUCAUUUAUAAUUAUGAAUAGCUAAAUUCAUAAAUUCCUGACAAUCAUGAUAUAAUAAAAUAAGCUCAUGUUAGUUACUUUAGAGUAGAAUUAUUCAAAGAAUAGUAUGUUAAGAAGUUUAUUAGCAAAGUGAAAAAGGAGAAAAAUUUCCAAGAACUAUGCCAUCCUAAAGGUGAAACCGGUGAGGAAAAGAAUCCGUGAUAGGGGGUAACCAGAGUAGAGGCGUUGUUUAGGGAAAAAGUAUCCAAAUUAUCAUGCUAAUAGUGACCGAAAAAUAUGUUAUUUAAGAAUAAUCUAGUAUAUAGAGAUCUAAGAUGACCAUAUUUUGUUAUGUAUAUGAUUGGAGGGAAUAUUUUGAAGAUAGCAUCAUAUGAAGAAUGAAUAUUUACUUAUCUGAUGAGAUGAUAGAUAAAUUUAAAAUACUUGUUUGGUAUAUACUUAAGGAUAUAGAAAUAGCAGAUAUAAGAAAAAUUAUAUACGAAAAGGUAUUUCAUUUUAAUGAAGAGUUAUUAAGUUCUAUAGAAAACUUACACUUAUAUAAUGAUAGCUACUGCUCAUAUUUAGAUAGUUAUAAUUUAGAUGGAUAUUAUAAAAAUUAAAAAAUGAUAGAAUAUAUUAGAAGAGUUAGAGAAAAACAAAGUUGGUUAUAUGAAGAAAUUAAUUACAGAAAUCAGUUUAAAAGAGAAAAAAGACAAUUUGAAGAAAAAUUACUUAGAAUAAAAUUAACCUUACAAAAAGGAGAUACAAAUGAUAGUUUAUAUAAUACUAUAUAUGAACAACAAAUGUUAAUAAAUCACAUAGAUAACAUAAAAUUACAUAUCAAAUAUAGUACGAUUAGAAUAAGUUAUUACACGGAAUUUUGUAAAAUUACAACUAUUAUAGGAUAAAAUGAUAAACUACGAAUACUUAGAAUAUUGGAGACAAGAUAUAGAGCAAAUAAGAUUAACAGAAACCAUUAUGAAAAAGAAUCUACUUGACUACAUAAUAACUAAAAAUUCUGUAAUUAAUUUCUUCAUAUAGCCAACUUUGUUUUUCUCUAACUCUUCUAAUAUAUUCUAUCAUUUUUUAAUAUGUACAAUAUCCGUCUAAAUAAUAACUAUCUAAAUAUGAGCAGUAGCUAUCAUUAUAUAAGUGUAAGUUUUAUAUAGAACUUAAUAACUCUUCAUUAAAAUGAAAUACCUUUUCAACAACAACAAACAAUAACAACAAACCCAGUGUAUUCCCACAUAGUGAGGUCUGGGGAGGGUAAAAUAUAUGCAGUCCAUACCACUACUCCCGAGGAAGUAGCAACGCUGUUUUCAAUAGAAAUAACUUUUCGUAUAUAAUUUUUCUUAUAUCUACUAUUUCUAUAUAUUUAAGCAUAUACAAAACAAGUAUUUUAAAUUUAUCUAUCAUCUCAUCAGAUAAUUAAAUAUCCAUUCUUCAUAUGAUGCUAUUUUCAAAAUAUUCCCUCCAAUCAUAUACAUAAAAAUAUGAUCAUCUUAGAUCACUAUAUACUAGAUUAUUCUUAAAUAACAUGUCCUUCGGUCACUAUUAUCAUGGUAAUCUGUAUAUUUUUUCCCUGAACAGUGCCUCUACUCUGGUUACUCCCCUAUCACAAUUUCUUUGCCUCACCGGUUUCACCUUUAGGAUGACAUAGUUCUUAGAAAUUUUUCUCCUUUUCCGCUUUGCUAAUAAACUUCUUAACAUGCUAUUCUUAGAAUAAUUCUACUAUAAAUUAACUAACAUAAGCUUAUUUUAUUGUAUCAUGAUUGUCAGGAAUUUAUGAAUUUAGAUAUUCAUAAUUAUAAAUGAAAAUACAUGUUCUGGUAGAUUUGAUAAAUCUGUGUUUUGCUCAUCCAUAGCUUUUCCUUAGAAAUAUAUCUGUUUUUAUUAAAUAUUCAAAAGUUUCUGUGUACAAGAGAGAAGGCUUGCUUUCAACACAUGAAAGUCUUGCCUUAGAUUGUUGUAUGACUUACAUAUUUAUAAUCCUAAAAGAUGAAAACGCGUAAACUAUUUACACUAUUUCUAACUUUACAUCUGUCAAAAAAGUAAAAAACUAACAAUGGUCCUAACUUUACAUUUGUCAAAAAGGUGAAAAACUAAUAAUGGCAAGUGCCAAAAAAACUAAAAAAAGUCAAAAAUAGUAAAGACUAAUAAUGUUACACAAUUAUUUACGUAUCUUAAGUCAAAAAGACUAUUCAUAUGUCAUGUCAUUUAAUAUAUUCAACGCUAAUCUCUGAAUUUCCUUCGUUGUAACUGAAUUUUGUAUUUUUCUUGUUAACCACCAUCGUACCUUUGUAUUAUCUGUUCGUAUAAUAAAUUUGUUAUAUACAAUAUAUGGAUCAAAUGCUAAUAAACACUUAUAUAAUGAACAUAAUUUUUUUCUAUUUAUUUUCCAUUUUAUUUCUGUUUCAUUAAACAUUUCUGAGUAGUAUCUACAAUGAUGUGCUAAUUUUUCUUCUUUAUAUCUAUAUUUAAGUACUCUUCCAUAAUUAUAUUCACUUGCAUCUGCUUCUACUAUAUACCUAGGGCUAAGCUUUCCCCUCUUCCCAAACCUCAUCACACCCUUCAUGGGUGAAACUCGAAGGAAAACACAAUCACCAACACCAAAACUAAGACACGAAGUCUACGAUCAUCAUAAUACUUCUGCCUACUUAAGAACGCUCUAAGUCUAUCCUGAAUGAUCUGGACCCUAUCCAAAGACUCACGAUGCAAGUUCGUACCUUGAGGUCUCACCUCUGAAACAUCAAACCAACCUACUAGAGAGCGACAACGCCUACCAUACAAUGCCUCAAAAGGAUCCAUAUCAAUACUGGAAUGGUAGCUAUUAAUAUGUGCAAACUAUGCUAAAGCUAAAUGCUGCUCCCAUUGGCCACCAAAAUCCAUCACGCACGAGUGGAGCAUACUUCAAAACAUUGAUAGUCCAUUCUGAAUGGCCAUCAAUCUGGCGUGAAACACUGAACUAAGAUCCACUCGAGUACCUAACUCAUCCUGAAAAGUCUUUCAAAAGUGAGAUGUGAACACAAGACCUCGAUCUGAAAUAAUGGACACCGGCACACUAUGCAGACGCAUAAUCUCACGAAUGUAGAUACGGGUCAACCUCUCAGCACUAAAUGAGACUUAAAUUGGAAUAAAAUGAGCUGACUUGGUCGAUCGAUCUACGAUGACCCAAACACUGUCAGAACCAUGAGAUGUAUACGGCAAACCAGUCUCAAAGUCUAUAGUGAUGUGUUCCCACUUCCACUCAGGAAUAGGUAACCUCUGAAGUAAACCACCAAAUCUCAUAUGCUCGGCCUUCACCUGCUGACAACAUAGGCAACGAGACACAAAAUCUGCUAUAUCUAGCCUCAUGCCACCCCACCAGUAGUGUUGUCUGAAAUCACGAUACAUCUUAGUCACACCUGGAUGGAUGGAAUAUCUAGAACAAUGGGCCUCCUCCAAGAUCAACCUAAUUUGAUCACCACUCUCGGCAUACAAACUCAGCCCUCAAUCCUCAAAACUUAAUCUAAAUUAGGUGAGGCUUCCUUAGACUUUCCACUCAAUAUCUUAUCUCGAAUCAAUCUCAACCCAACAUCAUCAAAUUAAUGAGCUCAAAUCUGCUCCAACAAAGAGGGUCUAUCAUCCACAAGUGCCAAAACAUGCCCUGGUGUUGAAAUAUCAAGCCUGACCAUCAGAUUAGCUAAAGGCUAAACCUCCAAGGCCAACGACCUCUCCUGAGUCAAAAGAUGCACCAAGCUACCCAUGCUAGCUGACUUCUAGCUCAAGGUAUCCACAAGCACAUUAGCCUUUCCCUAAUGGUAGAAAAUAGUCAAUUCAUAAUCCUUAAGCAACUCAAGCCAACGAUGCUGUAUCCUAAGAAGAUCUCAUUGAUAAAGAAGUACAAAAGGCUAUGAUGAUCUGAGAAGAUCUCACAAUGGAAUCCAUUCAAGUAGUGCCUCCAAAACUUCAAGGCAAACACAACUGCGCACAAUUCCAAAUCAUAUGUAGGAUAAUUUCUCUCAUGAGGAUUCAAUUGACGAGAUGCAUAAGAAAUUACCUUACCCUUCUGCAUCAACACACACCUAACCCAACACCUGAAGUAUCACAAAAGACAGUAAAGCCCACGCCCUCCUUAGGCAAACCUAAUAUAGGAGCUGAAGUCAAUAAAUCCUUGAGCUUCAGGAAGCUCGCCUCACAAGCUUCGGACCACUGAAAAUAAAUCUUCUUCUGGGUCAACUUGGUCAAUGGAGCUGCAAUGGAUGAAAAACCAUCAACAAAACAUCGAUAAUACUCAACCAAGCCAAUAAAACUCCGAAUCUCGAUGGGCGAAGUAGGUUUAUCCCAAAUCACGAACCGCUGCAACCUUAGCUGAAUCACCAUAAUACCUUCCUUAGUCACCACAUGACCCAAGAAAGAAAAUAGACACCAACCAAAACUCACACUUAGAGAACUUAGCAAACAACUUCUCGUCCCUCAAUCUCUAAAGCACAAUCUAUAAAUGCUCCUCUUGCUCAGCCCCACUCUUGGAAUAAACCAAGAUAUCUUCUAUAAAUACCAUAAUAAAAGAGCUAAUAUACGUUCAAAACACUUAUUCAUCAACUCCAUGAAUGAGGCAGGGGAAUCGGUCAACCCAAAAGACAUGAUCAAGAACUUAUAAUGACCAUAUCGAGUCCAAAAAGCUAUUUUUGGAAUAUCCAAAGCUCUAAUCCUCAACUAGUGAUAACCGAACCAUAACUCAAUCUUCGAAAACACCACAACGCCCCAAAACUGAUCAAAUAAAUCAUCAAUGCGAGGAAGAGGAUACUUAUUCUUAACCAUCACCUUGUUCAACUGCGAUAAUCAAUACAUAUCUUCAUAGACCCAUCCUUUUUCUUUACAUACAAGACAGAUGCACCCCAAGGUGAAAUACUAGGUCGAAUAAAUCCCUUAUCUAACAACUCUUAUAACUGAUCCUUCAGUUUCUUUCAACUCUGUUAGGGCCAUCCUAUAAGAAGAAAUAGAAAUAGGCUCGGUGCCCGACUUAACAUCAAUAAUAAAAUCAAUAUCUCAAUUCGAAGGCAUACUAGAAAAGUCCGUAGGGAACACUUCCAUAAACUCACAGGCAACACGGACAGAAUCCAAGAAAGGAAGCGAAACAACACUUACGUCACGAAUAUGGGCCAAGUAAGAUAAACAUCCCUUCUCAACCAAUUUAUGAGCCUGAACAUAAGAUAUAACCCUCUUAGGACCUGAAUUAAGUGUACCCUUUCCAAGCUAUCCUUGUCACACCAACUAAAGCAGUCAUAGUCCUAGCAAAAUAAUAUAAGACAACUUGAUAAGGAGCCAAACAAUCCAUAUCCAAACUAACAUCAAAAUUGACCAUAUCUAACACAAGCAAGUGUACCAAAUUUUCAUGUCCGACAAAAGUCAUAACACAAGAUCGGUACACCCGAUCCACCACUAAAGAAUCACCUACCGAGGUAGAUACAUCAAUAGGCAUGGUAAGAGGCUUCCUAAAAGAAUCAAAACCAGAAGAAAAAUAUAUAGACACAUAGAAGAAAGUUGAUCCAGGAUCAAAUAAUAAUAUGCAGGUCUGAAACAAACGGAACGGUAUCUGCGAUCACAGCAUCUGAAGUGUUCGCCUCAUAUCUGACUGAUAUAGCAUAGCACUAUCCAUGACUACCAUCUGGCUCAGUGGCCCCAUACCACCAACACGGGCUCUACUAUCUCUACCUCUAGCAUUUUUGGUAGAAUACCCACCUCUCACAAUUGAAAUAAGGUUAUCUCUAAAUGCAUGGCAAGUACAGUCCUUGGCCACAUGGCCAAUCUCAUCACAUACAUAACAACCUCUGCGACUAGUCUUAAUAGGAGAAGGUACAACUAGGCCUGAAUGGCUACCCUGAACUGCUGGACUAGAAAGUCCACCAUAUGAACUCUGUAAUGCUGCCUGUACUGGCCUACCAUAGUAUCCAUGAGAACCUCUAAAAUUUCUGCCUCAAGAGGUCUAAAUCCUGAACUCACCAAAAUAUCGCGCCUUCUUGGCGCCUCCCUGAGAUGCACUAAGAAUAUCCUCUGUCAUCUUAGUAUGAUCCACAAUACUCUAAAAAGAAGCCCCAAACACAACUAUAUGAAAUAUAGCCAACAAAAGAAAGACAACCUAACCCUUCACAAACUUUUGAAUCUUCUCAAACUCGGUGGAAAUAUUAUCUUAGAAAUAUCAAGAUAGGGUAUGGAAGCAUGCCUUACACUCAAAAACUGUCAUGGAGCCCUGCUCCAAAUUAUCAAACUCAUCCCACAUAUGAUCUCUCAAACUAAAAGGCACAAAUCUCUCCAGAAAGGCAUCAACAAACUGAUCCCAUGACAACUCAGGAGCAUUAACAAGCCUACAACUAACAAAUGAUAUCCAAUAAUCUCUCGCUGUAUCUCUCAACUGAUAAGAGAUAUAAGCAACUCCAUUUACGUAGAAAGAGUGAAACACAACUCAGAAUACAGGGUAUGAAAAAAUUUCACACGAUAAAGAAUGAAACGAGGGAAUUUUCCUAAAGACAUCCUAUAACCUCUCGAAGAUAGAUACGGACGUCUACGUACUGAUUUGCGAGACUCUAUUAGACAUCCCAUUCUUACACCAUUAAGACCAAUGAAACCUGGCUGCUCUGAUACCAAUUUAUCAUGACCCAAAAAUGAGGGUCAUGAUGACACUUGUAACAGCAUACCUUGACAAGUAAGCCUAUCACCCAAACUAAUACGAAUAGAGAAAAGGACAGAAAUACCCAAGGUAAGGCUUCUAGAAUAAAGCCAAACCAUAUAAAUAGUUAUAACAAUGCGGAAAGAACUUAUCCAAAACAUCAAUCAUGCCCAAAACUAGGUGUAAAAAGUGUAAGAACUACUAAUACAAUCCAAGAGUCAAAUAUAUCAAAAAAAUAACCAUAAAGGAAUAAUAACUAUCUCCGAGCACUAAUAAAGACAUAACUAAUAUAGAAAGAUAGAGGUGAACUUCGGAUGCAUGAAUGUCCAACCGCUACCUUGGAAGCUCUAACAACCGCCCGAAUCAAGUAAGCUGAGGUACACUUGAGCUAGGACCUGUACUGAAAGGGCGCAGUAGGCAUGAGUACGGUCCACUUGUACUCAGUAGGUAUCAUAGGCCGACUAAGCAAAGUAGUAAAUAAAGCAUACAAAAUAUACACUAAGGGCACGUCACCUGCAAUAAGAAAAUAUUCCACAACGGUAGCCCACACCGCUUGCACUAACAGUUCUAAUAUAUCUCACAUAUAUUGCAAAAAUACAUCAAGAUAUAGAACACAAGUAUAGAUUAUGUCAUAUAUAAAAUAGAGCAAGAGAGAACAUGUAGAUACAAGAUCAUCAAAUACAAGUAAAGAAAGGUAAGAUAAAUACAUAGAUGACAAGUCAAUAAGGCAAUACAACACAACAUAAACACAAUAAAUUAAGUAUAAUAUAUAUGAUAAUGAUGAUGAUUAUGCACGAGGUUUUCGCACAACCUCUGGGAUCGUCGCACAAUCCCCGUAUACACCUAUGGAGCCAAAGCUUCCCCACGUAGGACCCAUGGCUGGUUCGUCAACCCAUAUAAAAUCCAUAUAUCUCAUAUCUCCUUUCUGGCACAUUCCUCGAAAAGGGUUUUAUAAGGUGUUAUAAUAUUUUUAAAAAGGUGUUGCCAGUGUUUCUCAGAUGUUGCCAUGGUGGUACCAAUGUUUUAUGAAUGAGUUUGAUAUGAAGAUGUAAUGAUCACAACCAAUCACAAUAAGUAUUUUCACAACCAACCACAAUGAUACAUUUCCACAACCACAUGAGCCAAUAUUCACUCGUUAUUUUCAUUUCAUCCAUGAAUUUCCACGUCUUAUAUGCCAGUAAAGUAUGAAUAUAAUCACAAUACACCCAUGGUACCACAUUAAAAAAUACAAUACAAUUAAUCACAUGUAUUCAUGGCUAUCAAUGUCACAUAGGACCCCACACAGUUAAACAUAUCACAUGAUAUUUCAAUUUCGAUAAUUACAUCACAUAUAGGCUACCACACGGGCACAACAUGUAGAUAGACAUUUUUCAUGAUUAUUUCCCACCCUUAACAUGCAUUUUAUACCAUCAUUUACUACCCAUCUCAGUCUGAAGAGUUAAUCCAUAACCUACCUCGGAAGCCGAAACCGGCCCGCUACACUUGAACCCGCACGACCUUACUUUUCAUGAACAAUCCUGAAAUCUACUAAAAACAUCAAAUAUAAAAUAAAAUCUAUGCAUCAAAAUAAAACCAAUGACACCCAUAUUGACUACUUUUGGGUCGGGGUCAAAACGGACCCCCAAAAUAGGUUUCCAAAAAAGAAGGGAAAAAUUGGAACUUUACUUCAAAAAUAUGUUCCCCAUAUUUUUAGGAACCUACAUCUAAAAAUUCAAGUUAAAUAUUUUGGGAAUUCAAAUCGAUAUUAAAUCUAAAAGAUUUAAAAUUAUAAAAAAUAUUCUAACACACUAAAAUCGAUAUUCCGAAUCUGCUGGAGAAGUCGGAUUUUCCAUCCGAGGUCGUUUCAAUCAAAUAUGGGUCCUAUACCCAUAUUUCAAAUUUUCUAACUUUUCGAUCAAUAGGUCGAAAUGAGCUCAGGUGAACCAGGACCCGAACCAAAGAUCUACUUAGCCUAAAAUCAAUAUUCCGGAGCUGCUAGUACAGUCCAUUCGAUCAUCCAUCGUACGGAUCAAAUUAUAACCACAUAAGUCCAAAAUAAGGCUCUCGAAGCCAUCAAAAACAACAAUAUUGCAUAACUGAUACAAAAGUGCAUCAAAAAUCAUGUCAACCACUCCCACACCCCAAAAAUACCAUAAUGCAACUACGGGGAGGGGUAGAACAGUCAAAUCACAUAAAAUCACAAAUUUCACAUAUUUCAUCAAACUUUUAGGUCGUUACAUGUACAAUAUUUAUAAUAUUUUGGUGGAUACCGAAAUCUGAUUUUAUUAUAAUUAGGUGAUAUGUAUAUUAUUCUUCUAGAUUUCAAAUAAAUUAUUAAUUUUGCUUCAUUGCUAGAUAUUAAGGUAAUUAAGUAAGCUAAUAUGUGGGGGGUUUCUUUUGUUUUAUUUAACUUCUUAUAUUCUGCGUAGUAACUAGUUAAAUUUUUUUAAAUUUUUCUAAAAGCUUAUCUACUUUAAAACGGUCUUCUCAUACUUAACAAAUAAAUAACAACAUAGUUAACAAGAUAACAUAAUUAAUAAUAUUAACAAUUAAGUUAACAUUUCUCAUUAUUAACAUAUAUCUACUUGUAUAUUUUUUAAAUAACAUAGCUCUGAUACCAAUUGUAGUGGGGUGCGGAUAGUGUGGGUAACUUAACAUAGCUCUUGAAAUACUAUGUCAUAGCAUUUGUUUUAACUUUAUUAACUUUAUGAAUUAUUCGAAGAAUAGCAUGUUAAGAAGUUUAUUAGCAAAGUGGAAAAGGAGAAAAUUUUUCAAGAACUAUGCCAUCCUAAAGGUGAAAUCGGUGAGACAAAGAAGCCGUGAUAGGGGGUAACCAUAGUAGAGGCACUGUUUAGGGAAAAAGUAUCUAGAUUACCAUGCUAAUAGUGAUUGAAAAAUAUGUUAUUUAAGAAUAAUCUAGUAUAUAGUGAUCUAAGAUGACCAUAUUUUUUUAUGUAUACGAUUGGAGAGAAUAUUUUAAAAAUAGCAUCAUAUGAAGAAUGAAUAUUUACUUACCUGAUGAGAUAAUAGAUAAAUUUAAAAUACUUGUUUUGUAUAUACUUAAGGAUAUAGAAAUAGUAGAUAUAAGAAAAAUUAUAUACGAAAAGGUAUUUCAUUUUAAUGAAGAGUUAUUAAGUUCUAUAGAAACUUACACUUGUAUAAUGAUAGCUACUUCUCAUAUUUAGAUAGUUAUUAUUCAGACGGAUAUUAUACAGAUUAAAAAAUAAUAGAAUAUAUUAGAAGAGUUAGAGAAAAACAAAAUUGGCUAUAUGAAGAAAUUAAUUAUAAGAAUCAGCUUAAAAGAGAAAAAAGACAAUAGAAGAAAAAUUACUUAGAAUAAAAUUAACCUUAGAAAAAGGAGAUACAAGUAAUAGUUUAUAUAAUACUAUACAUGAACAACAAUGUUAAUGAAUCACAUAGAUAACAUAAAAUUACAUAUCAAAUAUAGUAUGAUUAGAAUAAGUUAUUAUACAUUAAUUUGUAAAAUUACAACUACUAUAGGAUAAAAUGAUAAACUACGAAUACUUAGAAUAUUGGAGACAAGAUAUGGAGGAAAUAAGAUUAAUAGAAACACUUAUGAAAAAGAAUCUACUUGACUACAUAAAAACUAAAAAUAUGUAUAGUGCGGGUAACUUAACAUAGCUCUUGAAAUACUAUGUCAUAGCAUUUGUUUUAUCUUUAUUAAUGUUUUAACUAUAUGUUCCAUAUUUCUGGUUUUUAUGUAGUCAAGUAGAUUCUUUUUCAUAAGUAUUUCUAUUAAUCUUAUUUGUUCCAUAUCUUGUCUCCAAUAUUCUAAAUAUUCGUAGUUUAUCAUUUUAUCCUAUAGUAGUUGUAAUUUUACAAAUUUCUGUGUAAUAACUUAUUCUAAUCGUACUAUAUUUGAUAUGUAAUUCUGUGUUAUCUAUGUGAUCCAUUAACAUUUGUUGUUUAUGUAUAGUAUUAUAUAAACUAUCAUUUGUAUCUUCUUUUUUUAAGGUUAAUUUUAUUCUAAGUAAUUGUUCUUCUAAUUGUCUUUUUUCUCUUUUAAGCUGAUUCAUGCAAUUAAUUUCUUCAUAUAGCCAACUUUAUUUUUCUCUAACUCUUCUAAUAUAUUCUAUCAUUUUUUAACCUAUAUAAUAUCUGUCUAAAUAAUAACUAUCUAAAUAUGAGUUGUAGCUAUCAUUAUAUAAGUGUAAGUUUUCUAUAGAACUUAAUAACUCUUCAUUAAAAUGAAAUACCUUUUUGUAUAUAAUUUUUUUUAUAUCUACUAUUUCUAUAUUCUUAAGUAUAUACAAAACAAGUAUUUUAAAUUUAUCUAUCAUCUCAUCAGAUAAGUAAAUAUUCAUUCUUCAUAUGAUGCUAUUUUUAAACUUCUUAACAUUCUAUUCUUCGAAUAAUUCUACUAUAAAUUAACUAACAUGAGCUUAUUUUAUUGUAUCAUGAUUGUCAGGAAUUUAUGAAUUUAGAUAUUCAUAAUUAUAAAUGAAAAUACUUGUUCUGGUAGAUUUGAUAAAUCUGUGUUUUGCUCAUCCAUAACUUUUCCUUAGAAAUAUAUCUGUUUUUAUUAAAUAUUCAAAAGUUUUUGUGUACAAGAGAGAAGGCUUGCUUUCAACACAUGAAAGUCUUGCCUUAGAUUGUCAUAUGGCUUACAUAUUUAUGAUCCUAAAAGAUGAAAACGCAUAAACAAUUUACACUAUUUCUAACUUUACAUCUGUCAAAAAAGUAAAAGACUAACAAUGGUCCUAACUUUACAUUUGUCAAAAAAGUGAAAAACAAAUAAUGGCAAGUGCCAAAAAAAAACGAAGAAAAGUCAAAAAUAGUAAAGACUAAUAAUGUUACACAAUUAUUUACAUAUCUUAAGUCAAAAAGAUUAUUCAUAUGUCAUGUCAUUUUCAUAGCUUGUUUCUUUGUUCUAUUUUAUUUCUCCAUUGCUCCGUUGCUAUCUUUCUAUCUUCCAGCCGGCGUACUUAUCUUCUUUUAUUCUAGUUGAACUUCAGGGAUCACAUUAUUUUCUCCAUGACAUUUUGAGCAUUGGUGGUUUGGGUAUUUGUGUCCUAUUAAUUUACAAUAUCUGAUUGAUAAUUCAUCUGAAAUAAAUUCCCUUUUAAUUGCCCUUGUAGAUGGUUGUAUUUCUAGAUUGAGUAAUGUCAUAAUCCAUUGUUUAACUUCUUCCAUAUCAAAAUGUCGUAGCUCCCUUGAAUUUGAAUAGAUCAUUAAUUGGUCUCUCGAAUAGUAGCUCCAUAUGGGAUUCCCAUUCAGAUAAUUAUUUGCUAGUUCUUGAAUAAUUGUAGUUAUUCCUAUAGUUUGCUUAUUUGUAUACAAAUCAGGCAUCUCAACUUUAGGUAUCUCUGGCUUUUGAACAAUAUCUUCCGAUAUAAUCAUAUCUCUAGUUAAUCCUAUUUUUACAACUUGUAUAACUAGUUUAAUUUCUUCAUAUAAUAUCUCUGCAGGUGCAGUAUAAAACUUUAUAAAAAAUAGAUUUCCUUUGGUUAUUUUCUUAUAAGUGGAGAAUGCUCUAUAUAAUUUUGGUAUAGCUGUUAGUUCAUCUCCUUCUUGGGUAUAUAUGGUAUUUAAUAGUCCAUAACUGAAACAGGUUUUAACUAAAUUUGGGUUAGUUUUUGGUAAUGCGAUUAACUUGUUGUAACCUUGUAGUUUUUUGGUUAUAUAGUCUGUGUUUGGUUCUUGGAUAUUUGUGGCUCUGGGUCUAAGGUUUAGGUGAGUGUAUUUUUUGGAUAUUUUCUAUGUAUGCUCGAGUUAUAUAGUUAUAGGCUUUUUUAUCUUGGUUUAAACAUUCUCGAUAUGUGGUAGUUUGUGGGGGUAUGAACAAGGGGUCUUUUUGUAUUUUUGGUAUAAAUGGCUUUUCAAAUAUCUUGUUCAUGUACAUGUUUUGAUAUCUUUGUCCACUAACUCAUUUAUGUGUACCUGCAGUUGUAGGUUGAUAAACAUUAUGGGUUUUAUAGAGUAUCCCAACGUCUCCUUUUAUCUCUGAAAUUUUAUUGUCUUUCGAUGCUCUGCACACUGCUGAGUUAUCUGAGUCAUAGCUUCAGACUUCAGUUUAACUUCAUUAGUCUUUAGUUUUUUUAUCUCAUUACCCAUACUAUCCACUUUAAGUGAAAGUGUAGUUAGGGUUUUGAGUAUCUUUUCUAAAGCAUCAUCUUCUAUUAUAUCAGUCUGUGUAGCGUUGUCUUGAUAAGUAAUCUGUAAUAACAUUUUUGUUAGUACUGAUUACUUCAAUUGUAAACGUAAAAUUUAAUAUAUCAAUGCUAAUCUCUGAAUUUCCUUCGUUGUAACUGAAUUUUGUAUUUUUCUUGUUAACCACCAUCGUACCUGCGUAUUAUCUAUUCGUACAAUAAAUUUUUUAUAUACAAUAUAUGGCUCAAAUUCCAAUAAACAUUUAUAUAAUGAACAUAAUUCUUUUGUAUUUAUUUUCCAUUUUAUUUAUGUUUCAUUAAACGUUCCUAAGUAGUAUUUACAAUGAUAUUUUAAUUUUUCUGCUUUAUAUCUAUAUUUAAGUACUCCUCCAUAAUUAUAUUUACUUGCAUCUGCUUCUACUAUAUAUGUAAAUUUUUUAUUUUUGUCUGGAAAUUGUAAUUUUGGUAACUCUUUACAAAGUAUUUUUAUUUUCUGUACUUGUUUUUUAUCUUUUUCGUUGUAAUUAUAUUCUACAUUCUUUUUAAAUCUUUUCUGUAAUGGUUUUAGGUUUUCUGCUAAUUUUAGUAUAUAUUCUCUUACUUGGUUUACUAAUCCUAAAAAUGAUUAUAAUUUUUUUUUUGUAUCUAGUUCUUCUUUUGAAUUUAUUAGUUUUUGUACUUUAUGUUGUUGCAUUUUUACUCCACUUUUAUCUGUUUGUAUUUAUAAAAACUCUAUCUGAUUUUCUAUAAUUUCAGCUUUUUUUCACUUAAACUUAUUCCUGAAUUUUCUAUUAUACCUGUAAAUUGUUCUAGUAAUUUUAAAUGUUCCUCUGUAGUUCUUGUAUAUAAUAAUAUAUCGUCUAUGUAUACUAUACAAUUAGGUAACUGUUUGAAAUAGUUAUCCAUAAAAUGUUGAUAUCUACCUGGUGCAUUUUUAUAUCCAAAUGGUAAUACAUUCCAUUCGUAAAAUCCUUGUGGUAUUGUAAAUGCAGUUAAUUUUUUAGAUUCUUUUUCUAUCUUUAAAUGGUAAAAUCCUGAUUUAUAAUCAAACUUACUAAAAUAGUUAUAUCCUUGUAUCUGUCGUAUUUUUAAUAUCUAAUUUGGCAUUGGAUAAUUAUAUGUCAUAGUUUUUGAUACCUCUACAAUUGGUAUCAAAGCUAUGUUAUUUAAAAAAAUGUACAAGUAGAUAUGUGUUAAUUAUAAAAAAUGUUAGAAAUGUUAACUUAAUUGUUAAUAUUAUUUAUUACGUUAUCUUGUAAACUAUGCUGUUAUUUAUUUGUUAAAUAUGAGAAGACCGUUUAAAAAUACAUAAGCUUUUAGAGAAAUUAAAAGAAUUUUAACUAGUUACUACCCAGAAUAUAAGAAGUUAAAUAAAACAAAAGAAAACCCCCACAAAUUAGCUUACUUAAUUACCUUAAUAUCUAGCAAUGAGGCAAAAUUAAUAAUUCAUUUGAAAUCUAGAAGAAUAAGAUACAUACCACCUAAUUAUGAUAAAAUCAAAUUUCGGUAUCCGCCAAAAUAUUAUAAAUAUUGUACAAAUGAAUAAAUCACAAAAAUAUAAAGAAUUAAAACAAAUAACAUUUGAAAAAUGAAAAGCAUUAAAAAUAAGAAAAGAAAGACUACAAUAUAACAUGAUUGUUGGAGUAUGCCAAAAAUCAAUAAAAGUACAAAAGAAAAAAUAUCAUAUUUAGAAUCACAAAUAGAUAAUCUAGAAUACAAAUAUAAACAUGAUCUAUACAAUAUCAAGUAGAUAAAAUGAACAAAGAAGAAUUUAUAAUAGAUGAAAAAACAUAUGAAAACCAUGAAGGAUUAAAAAUAAGAAUAGUGUUUUCCAAUUUAGGAAGAAGAUAUAAGAAAAUAGGUGAACAUUUAUAUUUAAUGUUAGAGAAAGAAGAAUUAAAAUUAGAAGAUAAAUUAACAGUCAUGGUAAGAAUAGCAAAAGAAAACAAAGAAAUAGACAGGAAAAAAGAAAUAGAUAAAAUAAAACAACAGACUACAGAAGAAAUACGAAAAAUAGAAGAAACUAAAAAUAAUAGGAUUGUUGAAUUAAAGAAAGAACUACAAAUGUUAAAAGAUCUGUAUGAAAAAAGACAAAGAAAAAAAAGAAAAAGAUAAAGAACAAAAAUUAUUAAUUGAGAUAAAUCAAUUUAAAGAAAAAUUAGAAAAUAAAGAAUUAGAAACUAAUGAAAUAGAAAUAAAUACAGUAGAUGCUGAAGAAACAGAUAAUUAUGAUUCAGAAGAUAGUGAAACAUAUACAGAAAUCUUAAUAAAUAUAGAAAAGCUAGAAAUUAAUGAAAAACAAGAAGUAAUGAUUAAAGAAAACUUAGAAAAUACAAACACGGAAAUAAACAUUCUUGAUAAAAAAAAGACGAUGAAAAUAUAAUACCUAGUACAUCAGAAAUAAGAAAACCUACAUAUUAUUAUAAAGAUAAGUUUAAAAGAUAUAACCUAAAGGAUGAAUAUAACAAAUGGACACCAAAAAAUAAAUAAUUAAUAAAAAUUAUAACUUCUUAGACUUAGAUUGUGUAAUAGAUGUAGAUAAAAUGAUACAAUUAUGGAUAGGAUAUAUAACAAAACAAUUAUUAGACAAUGGUAUAAAUGCAACAGAUACACCAGAAUAUAUAGAAAGAACACUAAUAGGAACAACAAAAUUAUGGUUUUUAAAUUUAACUAAAGAUAGUAAAAAGGUAUUACGACCUGAUAAAAAAAUAGAAGGAACAACAACAACUAAACUAACACCUAUAGACAUAUUUAAAAAAUAUGAAAUAGCUAUAAAAGAUGAAUUUAGCAGUAUGGCAACAGAAGAAGAAGAUCAAAACAAAGAAAAAGAUACAAAGAGGAAUUUAAUGUUAAAACUAGCAAUAUGUAAUAUGUGCUAUAUAGAUGAGUAUACGUGUGCAUUUGAAGAAUACUACUAUUACGGAACAUACAAUACAGAAGAUAGUAAAUAAGUAAGAAGAUUAUAUUUUAGUAAAUUACCUGAACCAUUUAGUUUAAAAAUAAUAAAGAGUUGGGAUGAAGCAAAAAUAGUAGAUACCCUAGGAGGAAAAAUAAAAUUUCUACAACAAUGGUAUAGAAAUCUAUGUGAAAAAUACAGAGAAGAAAUAAAAAUGGAAAAAACAUUAAUAAGGAAUUUAGCAUGUUGCAAGGAUAAAAUAGCACCCCAAUUUGGAUGUGAAGAAAAAUAUUAUAAGCAAGGGAAAAGGAAUAAGAAAUAUAAAAAGUACAGAAAGUCGAAAUAUAAAUAUUAGAAACCAAGAAAAAGAUAUUAUGUAAAAAAUUAUAAAUAUAAAAGACCAUAUAGGAGAAAGAAAUCUAUAAAAUAAUGUACUUGUUAUAAUUGUGGAAAACUAGGACAUUUAGCUAGAGAUUGUAAAAUGCCUAAAGACUCAUAAAAGAAACAAAUAUUAGAAAUAAAGAUAGAAAAUGCAUAAUAUAUGCAAAUAGAUUAUAUAGAUUACGAGUUAGAAGUGACGAUAGUAUAUAUGAAAUUUCAAAAAAUAAAAUAGAUAAUGAAAUAGAUGGUAAAUUAGAUGAAUCAAAUGACUGAAGAAGAUAUAAAAAUAAUAACAAAGGGAGAAUAUUUAAAUGAAGAAGGAACAUAUCAGAAAAUAAUAUUUGAUAAUAAUAUAUUUGACGAGAUAAAAGAAAAAGAAUUAGACUUAAGUGUAGAAAAAAUAUUUAAAAUACCAACAAUAUAAACAUAUUUAGUAGACGAAAAGAAGAAUACUAUGUAAUAAGCCAAAAAGAACAUGUAAUAGACUGUAGAUAUGCAAAAAGUAGAGCUAGUAUACCACUAGCAACAAAGAGAAUAAUUAAUAAAGAAAUAACUGAUAUAAAAAGUAAAGACCCAAUAAAAUACGUACACCUUGGAGGAACGGAAAUAUUAAUAAAAACAUGUUUUAGAGAAGGAAUAGGUACACCAAUAGAAUUAUAUUUAGCAGAUGAUAGAAUUAUAAAACCAAUAGAAAAAAGUAUAAUAACUGCUAUAAGAGGAAAUUUAAUAUACCAAAAAUUUAAAUUUAUAAUAAGUGUGAAUUAUUCAGUAGCAACAACAUAUAAAAACACAGAUAAGUCAUUAGUGCUAUAUUGGAAAAUAUCAGGAAUAGAACUAACCCCUGGAAGUAAAAUAUUUACAGCAAGAUGUUAAAAUCUAUAUGUAUUAACAACAAAACAUAAAAUAACGGGAAGAAAUAAAAUUAAUAAAAUACAAAUAGAAAGUCCUUUUGAAUAAUUUGUAAAAACAAUUGAUAAAAAUAAUUAUAGUUACAAAGACAUAGAUAUGGAAGAAGAUUGUAACGAUCCUUCCAAUAGUUUGUGAAAUUUUCUCAUUUUUACUGUCCCUGUAGUUUAUGUAAGUGAAUUUAUGACCCACGGGAUGAGUAAUAUGAAUUUUUGAGAUGUACGGAAAUUUUAUGUCAUUAUUUAAAUUAUUUUCUCGAGGUUUCAAUAAAUUUUGAUGAUCUAUUUAAAGCCUCGGGUAUUUUAAAUAAAGAAUUUAAUUAGAGAUUUAAUGGAUCAAAGUUUUAAUUUAUUAACUUAUAUGGUCAAUAUAAAAAUAAAACUAACUGAUCAGGGUUUACCAUUUAUAAUAAUAAUAAAGUCAGAUAUUUCGGGUAAGGAGAGAGGCACGCACUAGGGGUAGUUCUCCCUCACAAUGGCUGCAGGAGGGGUUAUCGAUAAUGUAGUGGUUGUGCGAACUACUGCUAAGGUGAGCCGUUCAUUGCUAUAUUAAAAUAAAUGGGUUGAAUUUUGUAUAAAUUAUAUCAAGAAUGGUGUGAACUUUUGAACAAUGCACGUGUGAGGGGUAGAUGUAGGAAUUAAUUUUUAAAUUAUCAAAUAUUACUUGUUUUAUAAUUAUUCUAAUCAUUAGAUUCAUAUUCUUAUGUAAAUUAUAUAUUGAAACAGAUUUUGAACAUUUCAAAACUUUAAGGAAAGGCAAGACAUUGGAAAAUUAGCUUGCAUUUGGAUUCUUCGGUUGAGGUAGGUUACGAUUUAAUUGGAGUUUAGACUCUAUUUAAUUGUGUGUAUGCUUCUAAAUUGGAUACUUGUGGAUUGGUAUUCGGACAGCUUGAAAUUGUUUAUGUUUGGAUUGUUGAUUUGUGUAUAAAUGUUUAUUGAAAAUUGACUUGAUGAAAUUGUCUUAUGACUUUAAGUGCACUUGUAACCUUGGUACAUUGUGUGGCAUGCUAUGAGGUUGUGUAAAUUGAUAUUGAUAAUACUUGAUUUUAUUUAUGUUGGAUCGGGUACUAUGCCAUACGUUUAUAUUUAUGUUGGAUUGGGUACCACGCCGGUACGUUUAUAUUUAUGUUGGAUCGGGGGUACGUUUAUAUUUAUGUUAGAUCAGGUACCACGCCGGUGCAUUUAUAUUUAAGUUGGAUCGGGUACCACGCUAGUACAUUUAUAUUUAUGUUGGAUCGGGUACCACGUCAGUACGAUACAUGAACAUAGAUUGUUCCCUGUAGGUCAUGACUAUUUGGGCAAAAAUAAGUCCCAUAGCAUGUGUGUACAUAUUAGUGUUGAUUAUGUGGAUGUUUACAGUAUGAUUGAUACUCUUGAUGGUUAUGCGGCUUGUUUAUGAGCAUUGUUUGACCUGUUGUUAUUGUAUUGUUGAUUCAUUGAAUAUUUAUUAUAUGACGAUGUCUGUCUACUUAUUAUUUUAUUUAUGUUGUGUAUAUGCUAUUAAAUUGAGUUGGCCUAUGAUGCCUACCAGUACAUAGUGGUUUGUACUGAUACUACCCUGUACUCUUCUUUUGUUGAGUGCAAAAAGCGUUCUGGAGGCUCAGACAUGACCUCACCUCUAGAGUUUGAUAGCAGAUCUUGAUCCAAGGGUGAGCACUCCAUCUCCAGGCUACCAUGGGUCAUCUUAUUUGUUCUUGUCCAUCUUUCAGACAACGAAACAUUCUUUAUUUACUUUAUUUUUGGAUAUAUUCUUAGAUAUGAUCUUGGUUAGUAGUUCUUGUAUGAUGACUUUCGGGUCUUGGGAAUUUCAGUAAGUAAAUUGUUUGGUUUCCUCGCUACAGAAGAUCAACUCCAGAUUAUUAUUGUUAAGAUGGUUUUAUGAAAAUAUCAUUUUAAUAUUGACUAAGUGAUUGGGUAAUGGUUUGAUUUAGAUGGUUCUCUCACAGGAAAGUUAAUGUGGGUGCCACUCAUGGUCAUUUGGGUCGUGAAAAGAUUUAGAAAUAAUAAAUGAUAGAAUAAGUACAAUAAAAAGAAUAUCUUUUGAAAAACUAGAAUCAUCAGGAUCAUCGAAAAGAACAAAUUAUGAAAUAACUUCAACAGUUAAUUUAACUCAAUAUUAUAUAACGGGACAAUAAAUAAAAAGAAUAUUUAAUACUCCUAAAUACAGGACAGGAAGAAAACCAUAUAGCAAAAUACCUAGUGAAAAAUGAAGAAAUAAAAUUUAAUAGUAAUAUGUGCCUAGAUCUACCAAGAAGCUUAAUAACUAUUAAAGAAACAACUGAAAAGGAAAUAAUAAUAGGAGUUAGAAAAAUAAAAAUAGAAUUUGAAAUAAAGGAAGAUAUACCAAAAGCAAACAUAGUAUUAGGAAUAAAAUGGUUAGAACAAGUAAAACCCUACAAUAUAGAACAUACACAAUUAACCAUAACCUAUAAUAGAGAAAAAUUGUUGAUAAAAAGAACAUUAACAUGAAAAUAUAUGUACUUAUGAAAAUAAUAGUAGAAGGAUAUUAUAAUAGAUAUUAUACACCUAUGAUAGAUACAGAAGUAGAAGCCAACUGAUGUGUGAGCAAAAGCUAACACAUUUAAUGCUUUUUACCUCAAAAUAAUCGUGAAUUCUGAAGCAACUCUUGUUGUUUUAAUGUGUUUCUCAUGAUAUUGCAGAAAAAGGCUGAAGAAAUGAGAAUAAACAAUAAUGGAGCAAAAGAGUUGAAAAUCUGAGCAAAAUAGAAGAAAACAUCGCUGACGACCUCCGUGAUAAGUCGCCAGCCUCGUGAUAGCCUAUCAGCAUUGGCGUCAGCCUUAACCAGGGAGUUGCAGUUUAAGGAGUUGUUCUGACGACGCUGAUGACGUAGCAUCAAAGUCGUGAUAAGGCGUCAAGAAUGGCGUCAACCUUAAGCAAAAAGUUAGCAUGGGAAGAAGAUAUUUGAUGACGUCGGUGAUGCGCCAUCAUAUCCCUGACGUGGCGUUAGCUAUAUCAUCAGCCUAAGAUAAAACCUGUAGGCAACUAAAGCCUCUCUAAUGCCAUCCGUGAUAGGGCGUCAACUUCUUGACGCAGCGUCAGCCUGGGCAUCACCUAUUCCAGAUAAUUUUAUUAAUUUUGUUAUUUUAUUUCCUUAAUUAGGCUUUAGUAUAAAUAGCAUCUUUUAGGGUUUUGAUUGAAUGAAUAAUUCAUCUAUCAGACAUCAACUCUAAGAGGAGAGACACGUAUUUUUGCUCUCUUUCAUAAAAUAUUCUUGUGUUUUUGUAUCAACUAUUUUUGGGGUUUCUACCUUGUGAUUAAAUCGGAGGAACUACUUGUUGUUUUCUACCCAUUUGUAAGUUUAUCAUUAUAAUCAUGAAUUCAACUUGUUAUUUCAUUCAUCAAGUCAUGGGAGACUAAUUUCAUUAGCCGGAGUUAUGGGAUCCAUGGAUUAGGGUUUGAUAUGAUACUAGGUGUUUAACGGAUUCAAAGAGUAGUAAAACAUCUUGAGAUUCUGUUGUUUUAACUAAAAUCAAGUGGUUGCAAACAUUAGGUUAUGCCUUAGGUUUUAUUUGCUUCUAAUGGAGAAAUAAACUGAGGACGUAAAUUAUCAAUAGGGACUUGAAAGCUACCAAUCUUUUGUUUAAUGAUUAAUGCCGUAACUGGAUUAAUCUACCUGAGAUAACAUCCUAUUGGAAAUAGAUAAGUUAUCUAAGUUUGAGAUAAUUAGAUAAUAAAUUGUCUGGUAAGAUCAAGAGAUAAGUCAGAUUGUAUAAUCGUCAGGGAUAUUCUGUUGUUCUACUCAUUCCGAGAAUCUCUAGCAUUACCUAGUAUUUGUCAAUUCCUGAAAUUCCUGGUGAACAUAACUCUGGUUUCCCACUUAUCUUGAUUACAAACACUAAAUUAUUAAAAGUGAUAUUUAACACACCGUGAACUUAAAUCCCCAUCUUUCGGAAGCAGCUACUAGUAAAAUCUUUCGUAAACAAAUCGAAGUACACACCCUAUUCCCUGUGGGAUUCGACCCCAACCUAGUUGGGUUUUAUAUUGACAACGAUCACUUACACCCAUUAAAGAGUGUAAUUUGAGCAUUAUCAAAAAUGGCAUCGUUGUCGGGGAAUACGGUUGUAGACCAAAAAUUUUGUAUGCAAAAAUUUGCUGAUAGUUAAGUUUCCGUGAUUUAUGUUUAUUUGUUGUUUUUGUUUAUUGUAGGUACUGUGUUAUUUAUGCCAAGCACGAGAAGUUCCGAAGAACCUCUAUUACCAAUCAAUCCAGAACCUCAACUAAUUGGGAGAAUGGCUGAACAACAGGAAGCAGAAAGAAUAGCUGCUUUAGCCAGGGCUCAGGUGAAUGUGCAAAAUUUGGGUCAACAAGCACAUCACCAAAACCCUGAUGAUGAAGACUUGGGUGAUGAGAAAUUGCUGAAUCCUCAAAACCCAAGGAGAGCUGAGCAAGUUGCUGCACCAGUGUAGCGAAACGUCAAUAGAAAUCGUCCAGUCUGAGGAAGGUAUGGUCAAAAGCCUAUGCAAUAUGAGGCUGAUGAAGAUGAUGAAGGAAUGGACGGAGCUGGUGCAACGGGUGCUAUCAUUCCGCCACCGUUGGCACCAAGUGCAAAGUUCAGCAUAACAAGUACCAUGAUCCAACUCUUGAAUCUAAAAGGGUUAUUUGGAGGCUUUCCUGGUGAUGAUCCAAACAUGCAUUUGGUGAACUUCAUCACCAUCUACAAAUCCUUUGACAAUCCGGGAGUGAGCUAGAAUGCAAUCAGGUUGAGGUUAUUUCCAUUAUCUCUGCCUGGAGAGGCAACAAUAUGGUUGAAUAAGUUAGAGCCUGACUCUAUAACUUACUAGAGAUAGUUGAAAGAUGCAUUCCUAGAAUGGUUCUUUCCACCCUCCAGAAGGGUACAGUUGAGGGACGAGAUUAGCAACUUCAAAUAACUUUUGACUGAAGUAUUGCAUGAGACUUGGGAAAGGUUUAAGAAGAAACUUGCACAAUGUUCGAACCACAAUAUGAAAGACUUGCACUUGAUGGAGACUUUGUACAGAGCUUUCAACUCUGUCACAAAGCCAAUUGUCAAUAACGCUGCAGGUGAUUCUUUCAUUGACCUCUCUUUUCUGGAUGCUUCUGAUAUACUGAAUAGAAUGACCAAACAGAGUCGGUCUUAGCAUACUAAGGAUUAUGUAAUGGCUAGCCCUACUAUUUCUGGUGGUAUUACUAUAGAUCAACGUAAAAGGAAUGAGGAGCGAAAUCAGUACAUGGCCCAUCUGAAGACGCAGAUGGACUUGCUAGCUAAGCACUUGCUAUUCGGCAAGACUGAAAUGGUCAAGGUUGUGGACUCUCAGGGUACUGUAUCUGCAGGUACUGAUGCUGAGGCAAACUAUGUGAGUAAUCAGGGGGGUUUCCGAGGUAAUAGCCAAGGGAACCAAGGUCGGACUUUCUAUGAUAAGCUUGAUUAUAAAGAUAGGAAGCAGGGACAUUGGAGAAACAAUAAUGACAAAAGUGGUUUGUAUAUUCCUCCUGGAAGUCGGGAUACUGCAACAACUAGUUCUAGCAAGAUGUCCAUAGAGGACAUGAUGGAAAAGCUGUUGAAGGGAGUAGAGGCAACCAACUCGGGGGUAACUAAUAUGAAAAGUGAGUUUUCUACCCUCAGUCAGUUGGUUAGCUCACACUCAACUUCUAUUAAGCAGUUGGAGCAGCAGAUGAGCCAACUUUCAGCUACUCUGAAUUAAAGAAAAGCUUGCACUUUACCUAGUGAUACGGUUCAGAACCUGCGGAAUGAUGGAUCUUGUAUGGAGAUUACCACUCGUAGUGGUAAGAUGUCAUCUGGCCCUUCUAUGGGCAAAGCUGUGGAGAAGGAGGUAAGUGCUGAUAAAUCGGAAGGAAACAAUCCAGUAGAGUCUGAGAAGCUGGAUGGCUUUAUUGAUAUGUCAGAGAAACAAGACAACAAGAAAGAGGAAGUGGUAUUGAAACAAAUGCCAAGAACACUACCUCCACUUCCUCAGAGGUUGAAAAACAAAGAAGAGAACGAAAAAUGUAGCAAGUUCAUGGCAAUAAUGAAAUAGCUGACUGUGAAUGUGCCAUUGAUGGAGACACUUGAGCAAACGCCGAACUAUGCUAAAUUUAUGAAGAAAUUGCUAACAAAGAAGCGGAAGGUAAGUUGUGAGCCGGUGGACAACAUCCAUCACUGUGGUACUGUGUCUUCACAAUCCUUAGUGUAGAAAAAGCCUGAUCCUAGAGCAUUUACCAUACCGUGCACAGUUGGGUCCAUAAAUUUUACCAAAGCUUUAUGUGACUUAGGAGCAAGUAUAAAUCUGAUGCCGCUUGAUAUCUAUAAGAAGCUUGAAUUGGGGGAGCCUACCCCCAUAACGAUGCAUCUAGAUCGGUUAAGCGACCGGUUGGUAUAUUGCAGGAUAUGCCGGUAAAGGUGGAUAAUUUUAUUCUGCCUGCAGACUUUGUGAUACUGGAUUGUGAUGUUGAUUUUAAGGUACCCAUCAUCUUGGGUAGACUAUUAUUAUCCAUGGGGAGAGUAUUGGUUGAUAUGGAGCUCAAUGAGCUUAAGUUCAGAUAUGGGAAAAAGGAGGCCAGAUUUAAAAUACAACCUCCUAUAAAGCAGUUAGAGAAGAUGAACAUCUUCUCAGUUGUGGAUGUAUUCCAGGAAUGUGGUAAUGAGGUAGUGAUACGGUAUCUAGACGAAGUCUGAGUAGUCGAGAUAACAAAGUCAUGCCGCGAUACUAAAUCAGGCGCUAUUGGGAGGCAACCCAAAAUUUUAUUUUCAUGCAUUUUAUUUUUAUUCAAUUAGGUAGUAAUAGGAAGGAACUGAAGGGGUACAAAAAGGUCAAGGUAGAAAUUGAAGAAUGCAAGUCAAGUGGUCUUGACGAUAUUCGUGAUAGGCUAUCACAACUGUGAUGGCUUAUCACCAACGUCGUCAGAAAGAUCAUAGGGUGAGACGUUCUCUGUUAAGGCUGAUGACCUCUGUGAUAAGCUAUCACAUUUCUGACGGAUUAUCACGAGUUGGCGUCAGCCAUUGUGUUAUUUCAAAAAAUCUGGGCCCAAUUCGAUCCAAAUCCAACCCGACCCAGGUGUAAAACCCUUCAGGUUCCCGCUUUAUUUUAUUUCCUUCUUUAAGUAUUAUUUUAUUUCCUUAGUAGGAUAUUUACUUCCUUUUAAAACACUCCCAAGUAUACAAGGAAAACUCCUUCCUGAUAGUUGUGGGAUUGCAAGGCAAAUCAGAGUCUAUCUCUCAUCUUUUCUUCUCUCUCGCAUAAUCAAGUGGAGUCAACUCAUCAGGUAUGCUCAUAACUUUGUUCUCCUGGCAUUGAAGUGGUAAAGUUGUUGAAAACAUAAAGCUCUAAAGGAAGAAACUUGAGUUCAAGUUGUAAUAGCAUGGAAAUCAGAAAUAGGGUUAAGUUGUGCCUAAAUUGCAAAAAUUUGAAAACCCUAAGUACAAAAAUAAAAAUACCAUGUGAUUAUAUGAAGAAUUUAGUCCCAAAAUUAUGAAUGCAAACUGAGUGGGAGGAAUUCUGAGCUGACGACGUUGCUGAUAGGCUAUCACAAGUGCGAUGCCUUAUCAUCUACAUUGUUAGCAACUUUGAAAAAUGGAGCAUUCACUGUUUAAGGCUGACGACAUAGCUGAUAGGUUAUCAUAAAUGUGAUGCCUUAUCAGCUACGUCAUCAUAAGUUAGAUGAUAAUACUAAGUGAACUUGAAUAGCUUGUUUUGACUGUUAUACCUUGAUCAUUAAUGGCACCUAAAAGCAAGAAUCCUAACACUCCAAAGAAAACUGCCAAGCCUAAAUUGGUUCGAAAGCUUAUUGAUAAAGACUCUGAUUAUGAAGAUGAAGAACCACUGCUCAGGUGGAGGAGAAAGAAACCCAGUCCAAAGGCACCUCCUUCACCUAAACCCAUUACGGUGGAGGAUAGUGUUGAUACUGAGACUACCACCCCAGCUGAGAGUGAAUCUUCUGAGCAAGAAGGUUCUAAGCAAACUGAGUCUGAACAGCCUGAUUCUGAGAAGGCUGAUUCUGAGGAAACAUUCUCUGAAACUCUCACGACUGAAAAUCAAGCUGAGAAGGAACCCCCAGUUCGGGGAACUUUGAAAAAUACAAGAAUCCGGAGGUUUGAGAGAGUGCUAGAUGGCAGAUCCCUAAAGCAGAAGACAUCUUCCUCAAAGGGUUGAUUAGAACAAAAAACAGAUCUACCAGACGGCUGGUGUUUCCAUAGAAGAGAGUCAUCAUCAUAGGAUUGCCUGGGUAUCCUGCAGUUGAGAAGAAAUUCAGAGAUUAUGGGCUGGGAUGGACUUCUAAGGGAGGUAAACCAUUUUGCUUUACAGUAGUUCGGGAGUUCUAUGCGAACUACCAGGAUUAGAGAGUAUGUGCAAGAGUGGAGAGACCACAACAGACCAACCUUUGCUGACCAGAGUUCCAGUUCAUGGGGUAAAUGUAGAUAUUUCUGAUACGACUAUCAACAGGUUUCUACAUGGACCCAACUUUAAUCCUCAGGUCACAAAUCUUGUAUUCUACCAUCGUCUGAAGAGUAAGGAUGACCAACAUCCUUGGUUAUCUACACUUAUAGCUGAGGGAGACCUUUUAUGGCUAACCCAACCUAGUGAGCGUAUUUACAAGGCUUCUUUGACUUAAGAGACAAAAUGAUGGUGGGGUGUUAUGCGCACCCAUUUGAUGCCGACCGACGGAGAUAAUAUUCUGGGUGAUGAUCGAGCAAUAUUGUUCGUAUGUCUUGUGGCUAAUCUUAAGCUGAAUUUCGAGGAGAUUAUUGCUGAAGAGAUUAAGAUUCGGGUAACGAGGUCUGACACAGAUUAUCCAUUCCCUUAUCUAAUUACCAGGUUAUGCACAGAGGCAGGGGUACCACAUAUUGCUGGGAUUGAUGAGACUUUGUAUACCACCAAGACCCCAAACCCUAUUCGCUAUGAGGAAAAUCAGCCAAGGCUGAUACUUGAUAGAGAGGUGAGGGUUGAGGUGAACCCAUCAGUUACAGGCCCUAGUUCAGUACCUGAAGUUGAGGUGCAAGCUUCUGAGGCUGCUUAGGCAGAGUUCCUGAUGAUGAGCCAGGUCCAUCAGUUCCUACAGCACCAGCGAAAGCUGCAUCCCAUCCUAUUGAUAUCAGAAAAAUGGCCAAACAGGCCAGAUGGUGUGAGACACAUCUACGUGCCUUUGCUGAGCAGUUUGCUGCUGCUGUAGAUAAAAGAAUCAAGGAUGCUCUUGAGCCCUUUGCUACUUUACCUACACGGGUUACAGAUCUAGAGAACCAUUUUGAUGCAAGGGCAUAGGAGCUGACUAGAGCAGAGCUUGCUGAAUUCAGAGUGGCCCUAGAACAGGUAAAAGCUAAGAUGGUGGUAGUACAAUAACACCAGUUUAUGAUGCCUACAGGGUAGACAGUUGAGGAAUCUGAGGAUGAACCUUCAAUCGUAGAUCUCACUACGAAGCUAGUGAAAAAGAAAAAAAAAAGAAAGACAGAAGCUGAAACAGGUAAGAAAAAGAGACAAGAAGAUGAUAAGAAUGAGAGCAAGGCUGAGAAAAAGGUAAAGAAGAAGAAUAAGGAAGAGAAAACACUGCAGACAGAUGAUGAGUUGACAGAACAGGAUAAAGUGGAUCUAAAAAGGGCAACACAAGCAUCCCGAGAGAAUAACUGGAAAUGAGAAGAAGCACUACAAGCGAGAGCUAUAGGAGCCUCAUCUAGCAGAACAACUGAACUGGAGCAAAGAAAAGCUCCUGAUGAGGAUAACACUGUUGUAGGGUCGAGGACCCAUGAUUUGAGACUUAAUUGACUCCAGGUAUAUCCUAACCCUUAGUUUCAUUUUGUUUUGAUUUUAAGUUGAGGGUGUAGGGUAGCAUGUUGUUGUAGCAUAUUCUGUAAAUAACUAGGAGUAGUGCAAGUUCUGUAGGCAGUUAAUUGAUUUUAUGAUUUUGAACACCUCUUCGAAGGUUUAAUUUGCAUGACUGUAUAAAUUGCACCUUAGUGUGACCACUGUGCAUCUCGUCAUGGCAUUAGUUUAGUUACCUGAUCAUCAUUGCUGAAUAAUCGCAUGAACCAGAAAGGCAGUAGCCAGUGAUAUUGCUUAUGUGCCAUGUGUUUGUGAGACUAUACCGAGUUCUCUUUGUAGUGUCAACUCUAGAACUCGCCCGGUUCGUCUUACCAUAGUUGACAAAUAGGGGUUAGGAAAGGAUCAUAGGCCGUUUUGGAUUAUAAGUCACUUUUAGCCUAAAUGACUUCCCUGAAUGUACAAAAUCCCAUGUUCCCUGUUUUGAGCCUUAAUUGACCAUUUUUAUUUCUAUGAUACCUAUCAUCUUCCCUUUUUAAAUCAUAAUGAACCUUUUUUAGCCCUGAUCCUCCUUGGACACUGUGUACCUUAACAUAGGCAAAUAGCCUAAGUUGAGGGUGGCUAUCAUAGGGGUGUGUGAUAUAAGUUGGGUAUGAAGAAAGGUAGAGUAGAAGAGAAAGAAUCAAAGAAAAAGAAUAAAAGGUUGGGUGUUGGUGAAAAAGAGCAAGAAAAGAAACUCUUCUUGAAUAAAAAAAAAGUGCACCCAUCCUUAAAGUGUGAUCAAGAAAAUAGAAAAAAGUGAAAAAAGGAGAAAAAGAGAAAAAGAAAAGAAAAGAAAAAGAGAGAAAAAAAGAGGUUAAUAAGUGGACCCCACAAGUUAAGGUAGUGCCAAGGACGUUAGUCACUCUAAAUGCCGUAUAAUAUCAUACCAGCCCUAGCCUACGUUACAAGCCGAAGAAAGAUCUAUAGUGAUCCUAGCGUACCUAUCUGGAAACCUUGGUAAUGACGAUAAGGGCAAGCAUAUAGUAUUUGGCAUACACUGGUUUGAACUUCAUUCUGAGAGUGAGUGUUUUUGUGAUGAUCCCCAUGUUUAUAUUUUUGAUGUCUGACAUGAGAAAAAGAGGGGAAUUUCUUUGUUGUAAGGGCACACUAGUAUCUUGCUAAGUUACUUACUUAUUUGGGUAGUGUACAUUGAUACAUGCAUGAUUGUUGGUACUUAGUUGAUGCCAUGGGUAGAAGCCUUUGUGUUACAUUGUUGCUUUUCAAUAAAUUGCACGGUAGUUUUAAGUUGGUUGACCUUGGAGAUAGUAAACUGAGUUUAGAGCUAAAUUGGUUGUUGACUGCUGAAUGUUCGUUGUAUUCUCUUAGUUAGUCGUUGCUUGAGGACAAACAAUUGUUUUAAGUUGAGGGUGUUGAUGUGUAAGCAAAAGAUAACACAUUUAAUGCUUUUAAGCUCAAAAUAAUUGUGAAUUCUGAAGCAACUCUUGUUGUUUUGAUGUGUUUGCUCAUGAUAUUACAGAAAAAGGCUAAAGAAAUGAGAAUAAACAAUAAUGGAGCAAAAGAGUUGAAAAUUUGAGCAAAAUAGAAGAAAACAUUGUUGACGACCUCUGUGAUAAGUCAUCAGCCUCAUGAUAGUCUAUCAGCAUUGGCGUCAGCCUUAACCAGGGAGUUACAGUUUGAGGAGCUGUUCUAACGACGCCGGUGAUGUGGCGUCAAAGUCGUGACAAGGCGUCAAGAAUGGCAUCAGCCUUAAGCAGAAAGUUAGCAUGGGAAGAAGAUAUCUGAUAACGUCAGCCACAUCGUCAGCCUAAGACAGAACCUGAAGGCAACUGAAGCCUCUCUGACGCCAUCCGUAAUAGGGCGUCAACUUCUUAACGCGGCGUCAGCCUGGGCGUCACCUAUUUCGGUUAAUUUUAUUAAUUUUGUUAUUUUAUUUCCUUAAUUAGGCUUUAGUAUAAAUAGCAUCUUUUAGGGUUUUUGAUUGAAUGAAUAAUUCAUCUAUCAGACAUCAACUCUAAGAGGAGAGACCCGUAUUUUUGCUCUCUUUCAUAAAAUAUUCUUGUGUUUUCGUAUCAACUAUUUUUGGGGUUUCUACCUUGUGAUUAAAUCGGAGGAACUACUUGUUGUUUUCUACCCAUUCGUAAGUUUAUCAUUAUAAUCAUGAAUUCAACUUGUUAUUUCGUUCAUCAAGUCAUGAAUGGCUAAUUUCAUUAGCCGGAGUUAUGGGAUCCAUGGAUUAGGAUUUGAUAUGAUACUAGGUGUUUAACGGAUUCAAAGAGUAGUAAAACAUCUUAAGAUUCUGUUGUUUUAACUAAAAUCUAAUGGUUGCAAACAUUAGGUUAUGCCUUAAGUUUUAUUUGCUUCAACGGAGAAAUAGACUAGAGGGCGAAAAUUAUCAACAGGAACUCGGAAGCUACCAACCUUCUGUUUAAUGAUUAAUGCUGUAAAUGGAUUAAUCUACCUGAGAUAACAUCCUAUUGGAAAUAGAUAAGUUAUCUAAGUUUGAGAGAAUAAGAUAAUAAAUUGUCUGGUGGGGUCGAGAGAUAAGUCAAAUAGUAUAAUCGUCAGGGAUAUUCUGAUGUUCUACUCAUUUCGAGAAUCUCUAGCAUUACCUAGUAUCUGUCAAUUCCCGAAACUCUUGGUGAACAUAGCUCUGGUUUCCCAUUUAUCUUCGUUACAAACACUGAAGUAUUGAAAGUGAUAUUUAACACACCGUAAACUUAAACCCCCAUCUUUCGGAAAUAGUAAACUACCAGUAAAAUCUUUCGUAAACAAAUCAAAGUUCAAACCCUAUUCCCUGUGGAAUUCGACCCCAACCUAGUUGGGUUUUAUAUUGACAACGAUCGCUUACACCCAUUCAAGAGUGUAAUUUGAGCGUUAUCACCAACUUAUGUUGAUAGAAUUAUUUACUAGAAGACAAAUGGGAUAAGCUUAAAAUACCAAUAGUAGUCAAAGGAUUUAAUAAUGAAGGAAGCUUAAUUUCCAAAAAGCUAGAAAUGUAAAAAUACAAGUAUGGGAUAAGAUAUUAACAAUAGAAGAGAUCUAUAAUUAUGAACUAAGAUCAAAAGAUAUGCUUUUAGCAAUGCCGUUUUUAGAUAAACUAUACCCACAUAUAAUAACUAAAACACACUGGUGGUUUACAACACCAUGUAAACAAAAGGUAAGAGCAAAAAGAGUUAAUAAUAAAAUAAGAAAGAAAACUGAUUGGAUAAAAGGAAGUGAAAAAAUCACACAAAAAUUAGAAAAUAUAAAAAAUACUGAAGACACAAUAGAACUAGUUAUAUUUUCAAUAAAUAAAGAAGAAAUAACUAUAUUUUCAAUAGAUAAGGUAUAAAUAAUAAAGAAAAAAAUUAAGACAACUAUACAGUGAAGAUCCAUUAAAAGGAUGGAAAAAACAUAAGACUACUGUAAAAAUUGAGCUAAUAGAUAAAAAUAUUAUAAUAACCCAAAAACCAUUAACAUAUAACUUUGAUGAUUUAAAAGAAUUCAAAAUGCAUAUAAAUGAAUUAUUAGAAAAAUAAUACAUACAAAAAAGUAAUAGUAAACAUAAUAGCCCAACAUUUAUAGUAAAAAACACAGUGAACAAAAAAGAGGAAAAAGUAGAAUGGUUAUUGAUUAUAGAAACCUAAAUGCAAAAACCAAGACAUAUAAUUAGCCAAUACCAAAUAAGAUAUUAAAAAUAAGACAGAUUCAAGGAUAUAACUAUUUUAAUAAGUUCGAUUGUAAAUCAGGAUUUUAUCAUUUAAAGCUAGAAGAAGAAUUUAAAAAAUUAACUGCAUUUACAGUACCACAAGGAUUUUACGAAUGGAAUGUAUUACCAUUUGGAUAUAAAAAUGCACCAGGUAGAUACCAACACUUUAUGGAUAGUUAUUUUAAACAAUUACCUAAUUGUAUAAUAUACAUAGAUGAUAUACUAUUAUAUACAAAAACUAAACAAACUUCAUGAUGUGUUUCAUGUGUCACUUCUUAAGUCAUUCAAGGGUGAGGUACCUACAACUCCACUUACUAUUCCACCAGUUGAAGAAGGAUGUGUUGUUCCCACCCCUUGCUCCAUGCGCAAAUCGCGUCUAAAUCGUGGUAAUUGGGAAAUUUUGGUGCAAUGGUGUGGCCAAUAUAUUGAGGACUCUAGUUGGGAGACAGUGCAUCAUUUCAAAUCUACCUUUCCAAACUUCAAGCUUGAGGACAAGUUUUUCUCCGGGAAGGGGAUAAUGUUAUUGAUGCUUUUGUCGGGAAAGAAUAUUCCAGGCGCAAGAAGUAAUAGGAUUAAUAGAACUGAUAAUGAUGUUUAUUUUCUGAAUUAUUUUGUUAGUAGAAUAGAACUUUCCUUAGUGGAUUAGAACUCUUGUUAAUUCAAUUUUAUAGGGCGUUUUCUAUUUCUAGUUUGUUAGGACUCUUUGCUACUGUAAACCUCUAUUUAAGAGAGUUGACAUUAUUAAUAAAAACAAGUUGGAUUUUAUCAGGAGAGUCGGAACUUUCUCAAACAAGUUCCCAGAUGAUACAAGCAUGAGGUGCACAAAACUGUACAAGGCAUUGUCAAAGGUUCAAACUUCGGAAUUGGCAAGUGUUUGGAUCAUUUUAAAGCCUUGUCAAGUGGAAGGAGGAGAAGGGAACCAUUACACUCGAGAGGCGCCUCACUUGAAGGACAAAAUGAACUUUGCACACGAUGAUUUGACACUUAAGAGGCGCCCCAUUUUAGGGCUAUUGUUUUCUUUUAAGACUCUCUUUUUACACUCCAAAGGAGCACCCUUCAUUAAGGGUAAUUUUGUCCUUGUUUGUAAUAAGUAUAAAUAGGCACCUUAGCUCUUAUUUUUUCUAAGUUUUGACAUAAUGAAUUGAGUGAAUUUUCAAAUUGUAAUAUUAGUGUUAGCUUGUAGUAUUCUCUUUCUCCUUAAGAGAGAGAAACUGAAUUAGGGUUAGAACAAUUGAUGGAUUUCACUUGUGUUGACAAAUUGGCAAGAAAGGUGGGUUUUGAGGAGUGUGAAUUCCUUUGGUCCACCUAAGAGAAAGGUUUGAGAUUCUAUUGGUGAGGUGUGAUUGAUGGUUUGAUACACCAUCUUUUGUUAAUCACUUGGUAGAAGUUAGGGUCUUUCUAUCUAUCUUUACGUUUAUACAAUCUUCUUUUCAUCCCCUUUCUUUUAUGUUGUUUUUGCUUGCUAAUUUUUGCAUUUUGUGUGUCCAUUUCGUGAAUUCCUAGUCUUCUCUUGUAUCAUUUGGUAUCAGAUCCUUGUUUAGGGUUGUUCCCCCAACUCUAAUCCUUGGUUUUAGUGUUCUUAUUAAGAAAAUCUCCACGAAAAAAGAGUCUAGAGUCAAAAAAUACAAAAAAAAAGGUGAUCUUGUGUGUUUAUAGUAGAUCCAAAUUUCACAACUUAGAUCUACUAAUUUUUAGUUUGUUUUGAUAGUUUCUAGUGUUAGAUUCGUAUUCUCUAACACUAAAAGUGUCUAGAUCUAUUUUAGAAUGAAAUUUGGUUGUUUUUGAGCUAGAUCCACCAUUUUUGUGCCUUAUUUGAAGCUUUUUAAAGGUGGAAACGUUUUGGGUUUGUGAUUUGGAUGAGUUUUGUGGCUGAUUUUCACAUAUUUGAGUUCACCUUGGCCUAAGGAACCUAGAUCUACUAAAAAAAUCCAAUUUUGGAGUUCAUUUGAUAGAGGGUCAAACUUUGGUCAACUCUUAAAUAUUCAUCUUGUUCUUCAAUCUUCAUCAUAUAUUGUUAGGGAAGAAUAUUCAAGAGGUGCAUUUGAUCCAAAAAGGUGGAGGAGAGAGGGUGUACUAGUUGUUAAAGGCAAUUUCCAAGAAGCUUCCUAGUCUUGCCAAAAGAAGAAAACAACAAAGACAAAAGGAAUCUUCAAAUACAAUUGAAAGUACAAGGGGGGACCAAUCCAUUUUGAAUUCAUUUGAAGCUCCAAAAGGGAUCCAAACCAUCAUUUUUCCCUCCCAAACGAAAUUUCUUUUUCUCCUAAGUGUGUUUGGCUGAAACAAGAAUUUGGAAUUGAAAAUUUUGAAAAGUGACGUCCAAUUACAAGCUGCCACAUUAUCACUUUGGUGACCAACCGAAUUGAGUUCUAAUUAGAUUUCUAAGUUUCUCUUUGUUUUUUCUAGUUGCUUUUGUGUUGAUUCUAUCACUAAUUAGCAAACUAGUAAGUACCUACUAGGUUGAUAAUUAGUCUUGAGUUCGUUUUAUUUGUGUCUUCGCUUUUUGUGUGCUCUUCUUAUUUUUAAGUCAUAGUCGUUUGUUGGUUCAAGUUUGUGCAUCAUUUUAUUUGAGUCUUAUCAAACAAAAAUCGAUUCCGAACCAAGGCAUAUUCACCACUCAAUUCACUUACCAAGUAUUGCCAAGUAUUCAACACUUGUGAGAACAAGUGUGAAGUGAGAUUCGAGUAUGAGUGUGUGAGGUUAUUUGAACUAACUUAUUUAUUUGUUUUGUAGGUUUUUGCCUUUGCUGUUUUUUGAUCUUUUAAGGUACCUUGACAAUGAAAGGAACAAUAUCAUCUACUCCGGAUAGUUAUAAUAUUUAUACUACCUCGAAUCCUUUUGAAAAUUUCCAUCGACACCUUGAAAGUCUACACCAAUUGAUGAUUGAAGCAUUCCAUCUAAGCCAAAUCACUAAUAACCAAGAUACUAGCAUUUUGCCUAGUAUCAAUUUUCCUUGUGUGCAGGUUCAAGAUAAUAUACUUCCACCGGAGGAUUCAAGGAGAGCUUCUCAAGAACACAUGGUUGUUGAUCAAAUGGAGCUCUUGGCUAAGAAUUCCAACUUUGGAAAAAAUGACAAAGAGGUGAUGCAAGGAAGAAUUCUUGACAAACUCCCUUGUAAUGAGAGCUUCCCAAAGGAAUAAAUGGGUUUCCAUGAUCCAAACCUAGGUUAAGGCCAUACCUCAUGUGAGCUAAAAGGUAACAAUGCUAUCUCCUACACUCUUAUAAACUUAGAAUGUCGUGAUGUGUCUAGUAGUAUCCAAAUGGAUGUAGUUGAUGGUUUGCUUGGAGGAGAAUCGCAUGAGUCUUCCUUUGUGAUACUCUUGGUAUUGUUAGAUUGCAUGAAUACCAAAUUCUUGAUAUAAGUUUGCAAGCACUAGUUGAUCCUAAAGAUGACAAAAUUGAUUCUUUUCGUAAGAUGAUUUGUGUCCAUCUAGUGCUAGCACUCAUGACUUGAAUAAGGUUCUAUUACUAAGUGACAAGAGUAUUCACACACUAGUUGACCCUUAUGAAAAUCGAGGAGAGUCUACAUUGGUAUGCGAGUUUCCAACAACUAGUGAGGAUGUGAAUGAUGAUCAAUUUACUCACGAAUAUAGCCCACUACUUGAGUUUAUAUAUGAUGUGCUUGAUGAGCCUCAAGUUAGUGUUAAUGUAUAUAAUGUUGAUCUUGAUAAUUAAUAUGGUCCCUUGAACUUCUUAUGUGGUGAUAACCUUGCUAUUAAUUGUGUUCUUGGUGAUCAUGUGUAUGGAGAGAUUGCGGAUGUUGAGGUGUAUGUUGUUAAGGGAAGCCUACUAAGUCGUAGGUCCUUAUCAUUGUGUACUAGUCUUCCCUUAAGAACAAAUGCUUUGGGUGAGUGUGAUACCCUAGUCGAUGGAAUGAGUAGCUUCGGUUUAGUCCCUUAGCCACUUCACCCAUUUGAUCCCAGUGUACUAGUUGGGAGGAAAAGGGAUUAUUUUGGCUUGUGCUUAUUUUCCUUUGAUGUUUGUCUUAUACCUAUCCUUUGUAAUGCUCAUAGUAGAUAUUUCAUGGUUAUAACAAAGGAUUGUUAGUUGUAUUUUAAAAGUGUACACCCUCGGCAUGAUGUCUUCACACUUGAUUGCUUUCUAUACUACCUCUUUAGCUAUGAUGAUAAGUAUGUUAAUUCUAAAUUUGUAUUGUGUAGAGGUAGGAAGUUUGGUGGCUGGUUUCCUUGUUUAAAUGAUAGUGAUGUGUGGGUGAGGUGGUUAGGAUCAAUAGUGGAACCAUAUUUGAUGACGUCCUUUGUAGAGGUAAUGAAACAAAUGUAUCUUAUGGUUCCUAAGCCAAAGGUAGUCUUACCUUUUGGGUAUAGUAAAGCCGUUAAGACCAUUGUAGUUUCCUUAUCUCUUGAUAUUUUCCAAAUCCACCUCCUGUAUUCCAUUCAUGCUAAGCUUCUCAUUUCACACACAAAGGACCCGUGGUUGUAUUUCAAAUGUGAAUAUCCUUGGAGUAUUGAAAUAUGUGAUGAUUUUGGGCUGCACUUUCCUCUCUUUGAUGCAUAUCUUAGUCAUGUACUUUGUGUUGCUUAUAGUAAGUGUUUUAUGAUUAUUACAAAGGAUUGUUGGCUAUAUUCUAAGAGUGUGCCCCCUUGGUGUGUUCAUAUAAUUUGGCACUAAUGCUAACCCUCCUACCAAGAGGAUUGUGUGCUUGUUUUUCUUCCCCCUUUGAUUUUAUAAGAUCUGAAUUUGAGGAAAUUCCUUCAAGAUGGAGAGUAUGAUACAAGCAUGAGGUGCACAAAAUUGUACAAGGCAUUGUCAAAGGUUCAAACUUCAGAAUUGGCAAGUGUUUGGAGCAUUUUAAAGCCUUGUCAAGUGGAAGGAGGAGAAGGGAACCAUUACACUCGAGAGACGCCUCACUUGAAGGACAAAAUGGACUUUGCACACUAUGACUUGACACUCAAGAAGCGCCCCAUUUUAGGGCUAUUGUUAUCUUUUAAGACUCCAUUUUUACACUCCAAAGGAGCACCCUUCAUUAAGGGUAAUUUUGUCCUUGUUUGUAAUAAUUAUAAAUAGGCACCUUAGCUCUUAUUUUCCCUAAGUUUUGACAUAAUGAAUUGAGUGAAUUUUCAGAUUGUAAUAUUAGUGUUAGCUUGUAGUAUUCUCCUUCUCCUUAAUAGAGAGAAACCGAAUUAGGGUUAGCACAAUUGAUNNNNNNNNNNNNNNNNNNNNNNNNNNNNNNNNNNNNNNNNNNNNNNNNNNNNNNNNNNNNNNNNNNNNNNNNNNNNNNNNNNNNNNNNNNNNNNNNUAUUGGUGAGGUGUGAUUGAUGGUUUGAUACACUAUCUUUUGUUAAUCACUUGGUAGAAGUAAGGGUCUUUCUAUCUAUCUUUACGUUAAUACAAUCUUCUUCUUCUUCCUCUUUCUUUUGUGUUGUUUUUUUUGGCUGAUUUUUGCAUCUUGUGUGUCCAUUUCGUGAAAUCCUAUUUGUCUCUUGUAUCACAAUUUCCAGACGAAAAUAAAAAUUAUAUAUAUAUAGUAGAAGCAGAUGCAAGUGAAUAUAGUUAUGGAGGAGUACUUAAGUAUAGAUAUGAAGAAAAAAAAUUAGAACAUCAUUGUAGAUACUACUCAGGAACGUUUAAUGAAACAGAAAUAAAAUGAGAAAUAAAUAGAAAAGAAUUAUGUUCAUUAUAUAAAUGUUAAUUAGCAUUUGAGCCAUAUAUUGUAUAUAACAAAAUUUAUUAUACGGACAGAUAAUACAUAGGUACGUUGGUGGUUAACAAAGAAAAUACAAAAUUCAGUUACAACGAAAGAGAUUUGGAGACUAGUAUUAAAUAUAUUAAAUUUUACAUUUACGAUUGAAGUAAUUAGUACUAAGAAAAAUUUUACUGCAGAUUACAUAUCAAGACAAAGCUACACAAACUGAUNNNNNNNNNNNNNNNNNNNNNNNNNNNNNNNNNNNNNNNNNNNNNNNNNNNNNNNNNNNNNNNNNNNNNNNNNNNNNNNNNNNNNNNNNNNNNNNNNNNNNNNNNNNNNNNNNNNNNNNNNNNNNNNNNNNNNNNNNNNNNNNNNNNNNNNNNNNNNNNNNNNNNNNNNNNNNNNNNNNNNNNNNNNNNNNNNNNNNNNNNNNNNNNNNNNNNNNNNNNNNNNNNNNNNNNNNNNNNNNNNNNNNNNNNNNNNNNNNNNNNNNNNNNNNNNNNNNNNNNNNNNNNNNNNNNNNNNNNNNNNNNNNNNNNNNNNNNNNNNNNNNNNNNNNNNNNNNNNNNNNNNNNNNNNNNNNNNNNNNNNNNNNNNNNNNNNNNNNNNNNNNNNNNNNNNNNNNNNNNNNNNNNNNNNNNNNNNNNNNNNNNNNNNNNNNNNNNNNNNNNNNNNNNNNNNNNNNNNNNNNNNNNNNNNNNNNNNNNNNNNNNNNNNNNNNNNNNNNNNNNNNNNNNNNNNNNNNNNNNNNNNNNNNNNNNNNNNNNNNNNNNNNNNNNNNNNNNNNNNNNNNNNNNNNNNNNNNNNNNNNNNNNNNNNNNNNNNNNNNNNNNNNNNNNNNNNNNNNNNNNNNNNNNNNNNNNNNNNNNNNNNNNNNNNNNNNGCCUCACUUGAAGGACAAAAUGGACUUUGCACACUAUGACUUGACACUCAAGAAGCGCCCCAUUUUAGGGCUAUUGUUAUCUUUUAAGACUCCAUUUUUACACUCCAAAGGAGCACCCUUCAUUAAGGGUAAUUUUGUCCUUGUUUGUAAUAAUUAUAAAUAGGCACCUUAGCUCUUAUUUUCCCUAAGUUUUGACAUAAUGAAUUGAGUGAAUUUUCAGAUUGUAAUAUUAGUGUUAGCUUGUAGUAUUCUCCUUCUCCUUAAUAGAGAGAAACCGAAUUAGGGUUAGCACAAUUGAUAGAUUUCACUUGUGUUGACAAAUUGGCAAGAAAGGUGGGUUUUGAGGAGUGUGAAUUUCCUUGGUCCACCUAAGAGGAAGGUUUGAACUUCUAUUGGUGAGGUGUGAUUGAUGGUUUGAUACACUAUCUUUUGUUAAUCACUUGGUAGAAGUAAGGGUCUUUCUAUCUAUCUUUACGUUAAUACAAUCUUCUUCUUCUUCCUCUUUCUUUUGUGUUGUUUUUUUUGGCUGAUUUUUGCAUCUUGUGUGUCCAUUUCGUGAAAUCCUAUUUGUCUCUUGUAUCACAAUUUCCAGACGAAAAUAAAAAUUAUAUAUAUAUAGUAGAAGCAGAUGCAAGUGAAUAUAGUUAUGGAGGAGUACUUAAGUAUAGAUAUGAAGAAAAAAAAUUAGAACAUCAUUGUAGAUACUACUCAGGAACGUUUAAUGAAACAGAAAUAAAAUGAGAAAUAAAUAGAAAAGAAUUAUGUUCAUUAUAUAAAUGUUAAUUAGAAUUUGAGUCAUAUAUUGUAUAUAACAAAUUUAUUGUACGAACAGAUAAUACACAGGUACGAUGGUAGUUAACAAGAAAAAUAUAAAAUUCAGUUACAACGAAGGAAAUUCGGAGAUUAGCAUUGAAUAUAUUAAAUUUUAUGUUUACAAUUGAAGUAAUCAGUACUAACAAAAAUGUUAUUGCAGAUUACAUAUCAAGACAAAGCUACAAAGACUGAUAUAAUAGAAGAUGAUGCUUUAGAAAAGAUACUCAAAACCCUAACUACACUUUAACUGAAAAUGGACAGUAUGGGUAAUGAAAUAGAAAAGCUACAGACUAAUGAAGUUAAACUGAAGUCUGAAGCUAUGACUCAGAUAACUCAGCAGCGUGUAGAGCUAUGUCGAUCAGAAGACAAUAAAAUUCCAGAGAUAAAAGGAGAUGCUGGGACACUCCAUAAAACCCAUAACAUUUUUCAAUCUAUAACUGCAGGUACAAGCAAAGGAGUUAGUGGACAAAGAUAUUAGAACAUGAACAUGAACAAGAUAUUUGAAAAAUCAUUUAUACCAAAAACACAAAAAGACCCCUUAUUCAUACCCCCACAAACUACCACAUAUCGAGAAAGUUUAAACCAAGAUAAAAAAAGCCUAUAACCAUAUAACUCAAGUAUACAUAGAAAAUAUCCACAAAAUACAGACUCACCUAAUAUUUAGACCCAAAGCCACAAAUAUCCAAGAACAAACACAGACUAUAUAACCCAAAAACUAUAAGUUUACAACAAGUUAAUCGCAUUACCAAAAACUAACCCAAAUUUAGUUAAAACCAAUUUUAGUUAUAGACUAUUAAAUACCAUAUAUAUCCAAGAAGGAGAUGAACUAACAGUUAUACCAGAAUUAUAUAGAGUAUUCGCCACAUAUAAGAAAAUAACCAAAGGAAAUCUAUUUUUUAUAAAGUUUUAUACAUCACCAGCAGAUAUAUUAUAUGACGAAAUUAAACCAGUCAUACAAGAUGUAAAAAUAGGAUUAACCAGAGAUAUGUUUAUAUCGAAAGAUAUUGUUCAACAGCUAGAGAUACCUAAAGUUGAGAUACCUGAUUUUUAUGCAAAUAAGAGAACUAUAGGAAUAGCUAUAAUUAUUCAAGAACUAGCAAAUAAUUAUAUCAAACUAUUCGAGAGACCAAUUAAUGAUCUAUUCAAAUUCAAGGGAGCUACGACAGUCUGAUAUUGAAGAAGUUAAAUAAUGGAUUAUGACAUUACUCUAACUAGAAAAACAACCAUCUACAAGGGUAAUUGAAAGGGAAUUUAUUUUAGAAUAAUUAUUAACCAGAUAUUGCAAAUUAAUAGGACACAAAUAUCCAGACCACUAAUGCUCAAAAUGCCACGGAGAAAAUAAUGUGAUCCCUGAAGUUCAACUAGAAUAAAGAAGAUAAGGAUGUCAGCUGGAAGAUAGAAAGAUAGCAACGGAGCAAUGGAGAAAUAAAAAAGAACAAAGAAACAAUCUAUGAAAAUGACAUGACAUAUGAAUAGUCUUUUUGACUUAAGAUACGUAAAUAAUUGUGUAACAUUAUUAGUCUUUACUAUUUUUGACUUUUCUUAAUUUUUUUUGGCACUUGCCAUUAUUUGUUUUUCACUUUUUUGACAAAUGUAAAGUUAGGACCAUUGUUAGUUUUUUACUUUUUUGGUAGAUAUAAAGUUAGAAAUAGUGUAAAUAGUUUAUGCAUUUUCAUAUUUUAGGAUUAUAAAUAUGUAAGCCAUACGGCAAUCUAAGCCAAGUCUUUCAUGUGUUGAAAGCGAGUCUUAUCUCUUGUACACAAAAACUUUUGAAUAUUUAAUAAAAUUAUAUAUAUUUCUACAGAAAAGAUAUGAAUGAGAAAAGCACGAAUUUAUUAAAUCUACCAGAACAAGUAUUUUCAUUUAUAAUUAUGAAUAGCUAAAUUCAUAAAUUCCUGACAAUCAUGAUAUAAUAAAAUAAGUUCAUGUUAGUUACUUUAUAGUAGAAUUAUUCGAAGAAUAGCAUGUUAAGAAGUUUAUUAGCAAAGUGGAAAAGGAGAUAGAUUCUCAAGAACUACGCCAUCCUAAAGGUGAAACCGGUGAGGAAAAGAAGCCGUGAUAGGGGGUAACCAGAGUAGAGGCAUUGUUUAGGAAAAAAGUAUCCAGAUUACCAUGCUAAUAGUGACCGAAGAAUAUGUUAUUUAAGAAUAAUCUAGUAUAUAGAGAUCUAAGAUGACCAUAUUUUAUUAUGUAUAUGAUUGGAGAGAAUAUUUUGAAGAUAGCAUCAUAUGAAGAAUGAAUAUUUACUUAUCUGAUGAAAUGAUAGAUAAAUUUAAAAUACUUGUUUGGUAUAUACUUAAGGAUAUAGAAAUAGUAGAUAUAAGAAAAAUUAUAUACGAAAAGGUAUUUCAUUUUAAUAAAGAGUUAUUAAGUUCUAUAGAAAACUUACACUUAUAUAAUGAUAGCUACUGCUCAUAUUUAGAUAGUUAUUAUUCAGACGGAUAUUAUACAGAUUAAAAAAUGAUAGAAUAUAUUAGAAGAGUUAGAGAAAAAUAAAGUUGGCUAUAUGAAGAAAUUAAUUACAGGAAUCAGUAAAAAAGAGAAAAAAGGCAAUUAAAAGAAAGAUUAUUUAGAAUGAAAUUAACCUUAGAAAAAGCAGAUACAAAUGAUAGUUUAUAUAAUAUUAUACAUGAACAACAAAUGUUAAUGAAUCACAUAGAUAACUUAGAAUCACAUAUUAGAUAUAGUAUGAUUAGAAUAAGUUAUUACACAGAAAUUUGUAAAAUUACAACUACUAUAGGAUAAAAUGAUAAACUACGAACGCUAUGUUAAGUUACCCGCACAAUCCGCACUCUCCUAAAAUAAAUUUUUGGUAUAUUAGAUUUCCUCUAACAGCAGUUAUUAUACUUUUUUCUAUUGAUUUUAUAAUUCUAUCAUCUGCUAAAUAUAAUUCUAUUGGUGUAUCUAUUCCUUCUCUAAAACAUGCUUUUAUUAACAUUUCUGUUCCUCCAAGGAGUACGUAUUUUAUUGGGUCUUUACUUUUUAUAUCUUUUAUUUCUUUAUUAAUUAUUCUCUUUGUUACUAGUGGUAUACUAGUUCUACCUUUUGCAUAUCUACAGUCUAUUACAUGUUCCUUUUGGCUUACUACGUAGUAUUCUUCUUUUCGUCUACUAAAUAUAUUUUUUAUUAUUGAUAUUUAAAAGAUUUUUUAUACACUUAAAUCUAAUUCUUUUCCUUUUAUCUCGUCAAAUAUAUUAUUAUCAAAUAUUAUUUUCUGAUCUGUUCCUUCUUCAUUUAAAUAUUCUUCCUUCGUUAUUAUUUUUAUAUCUUUCUCAGUCUUUUGAUUCAUUUGAUUUACUAUCUAUUUCAUUAUUUGUUUCAUUUUUCAAAAUUUCAUAUAUACUAUCGUCACAUUCUAACUCAUAAUCUAUAUUAUCUAUUUGUAUAUAUUCUGUAUUUUCUAUAUUUAUUUCUGAUAUUUAUUUCGUUUUUGGACUUUAGGUAUUUUACAAUCUCUAGCUAAAUGUCCUAGUUUUCCACAAUUAUAACAAGUACAUUCUUUUCUAGAUUUAUUUCUCCUAUAUGGUCUUUUAUAUUUAUAUUUUUUUACGUAGUAUCUUUUUCUUGAUUUCUUAUAUUUAUAUUUCGACUUUCUAUACUUUUUAUAUUUCUUAUGUCUUUUUCUUUCUUAUAAUAUUUUUCUUCACAUCCUAAUUGGGGUGCUAUUUUAUCCUUGCAACAUGCUAAAUUCUUUAUUAAUGUUUUUUCCAUUUUUAUUUCUUCUCUGUAUUUUUCACAUAGAUUUCUAUACUGUUGUUGUAGAAAUUUUAUACUUGCUCUUAGGGUAUCUACUAUUUUUGCUUCAUCCCAACUCUUUAUUAUUUUUGAACUAAAUGGUUCAGGUAGUUUACUAAAAUAUAAUCUUCUUACUUCUUUACUUUCUUUUGUAUUGUAUGUUCCCUUAUAGUAGUAUUCUUUAAAUGCACACGUAUAUUCAUCUAUAUAGCACAUAUUACAUAUUGCUAGUUUUAACAUUAAAUUCCUAUGUGUAUUUUUACCUUUGUUUUGAUCUUCUUCUUCUGUUGUCAUACUGCUAAAUUCAUCUUAUAUAGCUAUUUCAUAUUUUUUCAAUAUGUUUAUAGGUGUUAGUUUAGUUGUUGUUGUUCCUUCCAUUUUUUUAUCAGCCCUUAAUAACUUUUUACUAUCUUCAGUUAAAUUUAAAAAUCAUAAUUUUAUUGUUCCUAUUAGUGUUCUUUCUAUAUAUUUUGGUGUAUCUGUUGCAUUUAUACCAUUUUCUAAUAAUUGUUUUGUUAUAUAUCCUAUCCAUAAAUGUAUCGUUUUAUCUAUAUCUAUUACACAAUUUAAGUCUAAGAAGUUAUAAUUUUUAUUAAUUAUUUGUUUUGGUGUCCAUUUGUUAUAUUCAUCUUUUAGGUUAUAUCUUUUAAACUUAUCUUUAUAAUAAUAUGUAGGUUUUCUUAUUUCUGAUGUACUAGGUAUUAUAUUUUUAUUGUCUUUUUAAAUUCGUUUUGUUUGAGAAGCUGUGAUCGGAACUUCUUUUGCUUUGAACGACUCCGGUCCUAUUGAAUCUCUUGCCGCGGAUAGUCUCUUUGUAGUAGUAAUAGCGGGAGAGGGGAACUCUUUUGAAAGAAGAAAGGAUAUCAAGAGUGUUUAUUUCCGUGUUUGUAUUUUCUAAGUUUUCUUUAUUAAUUACUUCUUGUUUUUCAUUAAUUUCUAGCUUUUCUAUAUUUGUUAAGAUUUCUGUAUAUGUUUCAUUAUCUUCCAAAUCAUAAUUAUCUGUUUCUUCAGCAUCUAUUGUAUUUAUUUCUAUUUCAUUAGUUUCUAAUUCUUUAUUUCUAAUUUUUCUUUAAAUUGAUUUAUCUCAAUUAAUAAUUUUUGUUCUUUAUCUUUUUCUUCUUUUUCUUUCUGUCUUUUUUCACACAGAUCUUUUAGCAUUUGUAGUUCUUUCUCUAAUUCAGCAAUACUAUUAUUUUUAGUUUCUUCUAUUUUUCGUAUUUCUUUUGUAGUCUGUUGUUUUAUUUUAUCUAUUUCUUUUUUCCUGUCUAUUUCUUCAUUUUCUUUUGUUAUUCUUACCAUGGCUGUUAAUUUAUCUUCUAAUUUUAAUUUUUUUUCUAACAUUAAAUAUAAAUGUUUACCUAUUUUCUUAUAUCUUCUUCCUAGAUUAGAAAAUACUAUUCUUAUAUUUAAUCCUUCAUGAUUUUCAUAUGUUUUUUCAUCUAUUAUAAAUUCUUCUUUGUUCAUUUUAUCUACUUGAUAGUGUAUAGAUCAUGUUGAUAUAUGUAUUCUAAAUUAUCUAUUUGUGAUUCUAAAUAUUAUAUUUCUUCUUUUUGUGCUUUUAUUGAUUUUUGGCAUACUCCAACAAUCAUGUUAUAUUGUAGUCUUUCUUUUCUUAUUUUAAUUCUUUUCGUUUUUCAGAUAUUAUUUGUUUUAGUUCUUUAUAUUUUUGUGAUUUAUUCAUUUGUACAAUAUUUAUAAUAUUUUGGUGAUACCGAAAUCUGAUUUUAUCAUAAUUAGGUGGUACGUAUCUUAUUCUUCUAGAUUUCAAAUGAAUUAUUAAUUUUGACUCUUUGCUAGAUAUUAAGGUAAUUAAGUAAGUUAAUCUGUGGGGGUUUUCUUUUAUUUUAUUUAACUUCUUAUAUUCUGAGUAGUAACUAGUUAAAAUUCUUUUAAUUUCUCUAAAAGCUUGUGUAUUUUUAAACGAUCUUCUUAUAUUUAACAAAUAAAUAACAACAUAGUUAACAAGAUAACAUAAUUAAUAAUAUUAACAAUUAAGUUAACAUUUCUAACAUUUCUCAUAAUUAACACAUAUCUACUUGUACAUUUUUUAAAUAAUAUAGCUCUGAUACCAAUUGUAGGGAGUGCAGUGCGGGUAACUUAUGUUAGUUGUAGCAUUCUAUGUCAUAGCAUUUCUUAGUUAUUUAUUUUAACCUUAUUAAUUUUUCUAUAUUAUUUUUAAGGUAUAUUAUAUGUUUCAUAUUUCUAAUUUUUAUGUAGUCAAGUAGAUUCUUUUUCAUAAGUGUUUCUAUUAAUCUUAUUUGCUCCAUAUCUUGUCUCCAAUAUUCUAAGUAUUCGUAGUUUAUCAUUUUAUCCUGUAGUAGUUGUAACUUUACAAAUUUCUGUGUGAUAACUUAUUCUAAUCGUACUAUAUCUAAUAUGUAAUUUUAUGUUAUCUAUGUGAUUCAUUAA